rnacentral:lncRNA from 1 species
UUAGAUAUAUAAGAAAAUUAUGGUUUUAACUUUGAGGAGGAUCACAUGAAGUGGUUCCGGGUAAAAUAUGAGGGUGUGAUCCUUAACAAGUCUUAGCAAAUCUCUUUCGGCCAUAAGGAUCACGAAAUUAGUAUGAUUAGCCUUUCAUGACCUGAGUCCCUUAGUUUGUGUCCCUUAGUUAUUAUGUAUGAUUGAUUUACUCAUCUGGAGUUUUGGUUUGCACUUUGAUAUGGGGUUAGUUUUAUAUUCUUCAAACUCUAAAGAAGUUGGUGGUGGGAUUCAUGACCAUCUUGUGCAAUUACAGUUUAUUCACGUGAUUUAACAGGUUUUCCCAACUAUUGUUUUAGUUUGUGAUCUUAUAUUGGUUUUUUGAUUUGUAAUUCAUUAGGCAGCAACAACAAAUUUGUUCUUCGUUGUUCUUUGUCAUUCAGUAGAUCACAGGUUUUUGUGUUGUUCUUUUUUUUUUUCGGGAGGGGUUUUGGUUUAUGUCCCCCUCUCCCCUUAUGUACUCUUUUGUUUCUCUUUUUUCAAUAAAAUAAUUGGAACCGGGCGUAGGGCUGAGCCUCCCAAUUUGUCUGGGUUCCAAACCCUUUUUUUCCCACUAACAAAAAGAGAUUUUAAACUUCCCAUCAACCCAAUAGACUCUUAUAGACUAUUCCCACUAACAAAAUUUUUGACUUUUUAUGUUUUUUUGUGUGACCAAAUUACCCUUGUAGAUAUAUAUAUAUAUAUAUAUAUAUAUAUCUCUCUCUCUCUCNNNNNNNNNNNNNNNNNNNNUCUCUCUCUCUCUCUCUCUCUCUCUCUCUCUCUCUCUCUCUCUCUCUCUCUCUCUCUCUCCUCCGUACCGGAAAAACGAAACAGAAGCUCACCAUUGCCUUCUUCCACCGCCGCUCUGCUUAGUCAAACCCUCGCUGGGAGGACUUCCAGUCCAACCUCAAAACCCUCGCCGUCAUCGGAAUCUGGAUCUCAGAUCCAUCUGCAGCGCCUAACCCGCCGUCGCUUCAUGCUCCGCCACAGAGUUCGGCUUCAAACCACCACGGUUCCAAAAGCAUCUCGGAUCCAUCUGCCGCGCCUAACCGGUUGUUGCUUCAUGCUCUGCCACAGAGUUCGACUUUAAAACCACCACGGUUCCAAAAGCCUCCCUUGCCGUUGCCGGAGUCAAGGAACACGAGCCGCUUCGCCACUGUGCCUAUGGCGACGAUGACGGUGUAGGCCUCAACGACGUCGGAGGUGGUGGUGAGCUGGAUGUUAGGGGCGUAUUUCGGAGUUGGUAGCGGUGAUCUUCUGCCUUGCGUGCAGAGAGUAAUUUGGAGGACUUUGCCUGAAACUUUUGGCUGUAAGGUAAGUACUACUGUGUUGGUUUUUGGUCAUGGUAUUUGAUUCCGAAAUGGAGUUAUGGUUGAUAUUAGAUUUUGAAUUGGUGAAGGGUAGAGAACUCAUUAAUUCAUGAAUUGGUUGUUUUGUGUUGAAUGUAACAGAACAAAAUAUAUUGGUUUGGUUGUUGUUGUUGGUGAGGGGUUUAGCAGUGGAGAAAACGCAGGUCAUCUGCCCCUAUUGGCCUCAGUAGACCCCCCUACUGCCCCCCAAUAGACCCUCCUAUUGCACCUAGUAGACCCCCCUACUGCACCGAGUAUACCCCCUACUGGCCCCCAGUAGACCCUUCUACUGCCCCCAGUUGACCCCUGUGGACAGACCCAUGCAUACUGACCCCAAUAUGAGGUCAUACUGACCCCAAUAGAUGGUCAACUGUCGUCAGAGUUUGGUCAACGGUCGCGGGAGUCACGGUCAACGACCAUCGGUUGCAAGAAUCCGGUCAUAGAUAUUUAUUUUAAAAUAUACAUUCUAUUGUUCUUAUAAUGGUCUAUUGUAGUUUAUUUAAAUCAUUAAAGGUAUAAUUGUCUUUUUCUUGUUUAAGUUGGCUCUUGGGAAUUUUGAAAUCUGAUUUUAUUGGUGGGAAUAAAAUUCUUAAAAUUAGGGCUAAAGGGCAUUGUCCCAAAAAAAAAAACUCUAAAGAAGUUGAGUUUCAUUAUUGGGGAAUGAUGACACCAAUAUUGGAAUUGGUAUUAAUUGCUCUUUGAGAAGUAAGGUAAUCCCGGAAAAAAAAAUAAAAAAAAAAUACAUUGAAGCAUCUAAAUCAGUUUUCAUCAUUAUUGAAAUAAUUUAUGCAAGAUAUUUGUGAAUGCUUGACCAACAAAUUAAAGAAAAUCUUCUGAACUGGAAUUAUGACCCACGCUUUGCCGCGGGAUUUGCGAGAUUUGUGUUCAUAAUUUUUCUUCUUUUAUUCUUAUUUCUAAUGUAUCAAAGUGCAAGAUCUAUAUAGAUUCAAUUUGAAAUACUUAACAACAAUGCACUUAUCAUAGUAGUAAAAGUAUAUCUCUUAUGUUUUUUCUUCUCGAUUCUUUCUUUCACUCUUUUCCUAAUCUACUAUUUUCAUCGGAGACAGAACAAAGUAAAUUUCAGAGGGUUCUUUCUAGAUAGUGUGUCCCAAUUUACUUUUUUUUUCAGACAAAAAAAAAAAAACUGGCCCGAGCCCAAAACUGUUUUUACUAGAUAAACAGUAAAUCAUUAUAGAUGAACAGUGAUCAACAAAUAGAUAUAUAGUAAAUUUUAGGAAGUAAGUUUCGACAUGUAUUUUUGUCAUGAUUACCUUUCUCUAUAUGGAAGGAAUCCUAACACCGUAAAAAAUAUAUAUAUUCCUUAUAUAUAUAGCUAGGUUAUAUAGGGUUUAGUUUGUGCAAGUAUAUAAACUCUAUUCAUCCUAUACAAACAUCACAAGUCACAAGCGGCUAUACAUAAAUUAUUGAUUUCAUUUUAUUCCCUUAAUAUCUUGUUGAUUUUUUAGCUAUGGAAACAGAGCAAGAGAGAAAGUUAUUUGUGGGUGGUAUACCAUGGCAGGUUAACGAAACUAUGUUGGAAGAACACUUCAGCCAGUAUGGUGAAGUAAAAGAAUGCGUGAUCGUUCUAGAUAAAGUCAAUAAUUAUCAACCUAGAGGGUUUGGUUUUGUUACCUUUGUUGAUCGAUUAGUGGCUGAUAAAGUUUUGGAAGAAAAUCAUGUCAUCUUUGACAAAAAGGUUAGUUCAACAUAAUCGUAGUAAGCUAUUUUGUACAAUUUCUUUUUCUUUUGCUUGUGAUAAUAUUGUGUUGGAUAAUUCGUCGUUCUUUUCUGGGUAUUGAUUUUUCGUUAUACAGCUUGUCGUAAAUCCCUCAGAACCACGGCGCGAGAGGAACCAGAAUAACCAAAGAAAUCAAUAUGCUCAACGUCAAAAAUCUCAUCACCCCAAAAAGAUUUUUGUAGGGGGUUUACCACAUCAUCUUACAGAAGAAGAAUUUAUCAACUACUUUGUGAAGUUUGGUGUAAUUGAUAAGGGUGUGAUAAUUUAUGAUAAGGAAACCAGCACGUCAAGAGGCUUUGGUUUCAUCACUUUUGAAUCAGAGGAGGCGGUUAAAGAUGUAAUGCAGGAAAAUUUUCACGAGCUAAAGAAUGAGAUAGUGGAGGUCCGCCGAGCUCGUCUCGAAGUAACAAGGAAUAACAGAAGUUUGAUGAACUGGCAUGACCUUGAGAAUGCAAGGUUGGAAUUUGAAGGAGGACUUCGAUAUGAUGAUCUUGCUUUUGGGGUUGGUCGUCUUUUUUGCUGCAACUGUGGAGGUUCUUAUGGUUACGGACAUUAUCCAGCGUGCUUGUGUGGGGAGGAUCCUUUUAAUGGAACUUGGAAGGCUCUGAGGGUUCUACAUGCUUAUUGGAAUGGUGGUGGUGAAGUGCAUCCAUGGGCGUGGAAUGAUAAUCUGCAAUCCAACGAACACCUACUGACUUAUGUAAACAAAUAAACUGUGUAUCCUCUUAUUCAUGCACAGACAUGAACUACUCUAUUGAUUAAAUUCUGUAAGCAUGGUUACUCAGGAAUUUACUAUCAUGAUUGAGUCCCAAAACUAGUGCAAGUCUAAGUAAUCCAACAUCAACUAUCCAGUAGUUCAUUCAGUCACGAUCUAACUUACAUUAAUCCUAUUCUUUACUUCGAAUGCCAUUCAACUGCGGCCAGCCGCCAUGAUAACCAAGACUAGCAAGUCUAAGCAAAUCGUUUUUUUGUGCAAGAAAAAAAAAAUAAAACACAGUAGCUAGUGCACGUGUGGUUCACUGGCUACAGCCCGUGGUUGCCGGUCACCCCAUUCAACUUUUUAACCAGAUUACUUCUCAGUUUUACUAUUUUCGAAGAAGACUGAACUCUACUGAGGGCUUUCUCUCUCCUUUCACUCUUUCAGUAAGAGCUAUGGCUUUUCUCUCACUAGUCUCUCCUACUUUGCUUCCAGUGGUACGGCCUCUCUCAUAGUCUUUCUCUCCACAUUAUCUCUUUUUUGUGCUUUGGGUGGUCUAAAUCUUUUGGUUGUUCUUUGCUCCCCUUUGCUUGCUUUAUUACUGCACAUCUUUUCUGUUUCUGGUGAUUGUGCCCUUUUGAAGCUUGAGCAUGAAGUGCAAGAAGGUUCAUUAUUUGUAUUAGGAAUGUAAUGAUGUUUUUGACCAUGGAAAAAGAUCAGAUAAAAAAGCAGAGUCAGAGACAGCAACAUCAGCUGUGUCUGUGUGUGUGAUAAAUAGGGUAUUGUUGCUUGCUGAUUGUCAAUAACAUCCCUUUUAUCCCUUUUUCAAACAUUUCAUGGGAUACCCAGAUGUAAUGUGGGCAUUUUGAGUAAGAGGAUUUUAAGAGCUUUGAGGAUUUGGGUUUUUCAGGGUUUUUAAGAAUGCCUAUGUUUGAGCCCUCAAACAGGGAUGGGAUUGUUGGGUUUGAUGGUGGUGGAGAUGGGCAUGUUCUAGAUUUGGACACAGCUGUCAAAGAUGGGGUUUUGGGUGGUGGUGGUGUUGUUAGUGUUGGUGGGGUUGUGGGAACUGGUGGUGGUGGUGAGAAAUUGGAUCUGAGAAUGAUGAUUGAGGAGCUUGACUUGUCUGAGGUACCUUCUGUGUUUAUCUGCCCAAUUUCUCUUGAGCCAAUGCAAGACCCUGUGACCCUUUGCACUGGGCAGACCUAUGAGAAGUCCAACAUUCUCAAGUGGUUCAAUUUGGGGCAUUUCACCUGUCCAACCACAAUGCAGGAGCUUUGGGAUGAUACCGUGACCCCUAAUAGGACCCUUCAUCAUCUAAUCUACACAUGGUUUUCUCAGAAGUAUCUGCUCAUGAAGAAGAAGUCAGAAGAUGUUCAGGGAAGGGCUGCAGAGCUUGUGGAGAUGCUGAAGACUGUGAAGGGUCAAGCUAGGGUGCAAGCCCUCAAGGAAUUGCGUCAAGUUGUGGCAGUUCAUGCCACUGCUAGGCAGACAUUGAUCGAUAAAGGUGGGAUUGCUGUAGUUUCGUCUCUGCUUGGUCCAUUUACUUCACAUGUUAUAGGUUCGGUAGCCAUUGCAAUUCUUGUGAAUUUGACACUUGAUUCGGAGUCCAGAAUGAGUUUGAUGCAACCAGCUAAGAUUUCGUUGAUGGUGGACAUUUUGAAUGAGGGGUCAAUUGAGACAAAAAUCAAUUGUACCCGGUUGAUCAAAAUGUUAAUGGAGGAGAAGGAUUUUCGAUCAGAAAUUGUUUCGAGCCAUAGCCUCCUGGUUGGAAUAAUGAGGUUGGUUAAAGAUAAGAGACAUACAGUUGGAGUCUUGCCAGGACUGAGCCUCCUCAGAACAAUAUGCUUGCAUGAGGAAGCGAGGGGCUUGAUAGUGAGCAUUGGAGCUGUACCGCAAUUGGUUGAAUGUUUGCUUUCCCUUGACAAUGAAUGUUUAGAAUUAGCCCUUUUCAUCUUGGAUGCAUUGUCGUCUCGACCAGAGGGAGUAUUAUCAUUGAAGGAUUGUUCGAAGACCAUACCAAAUAUGGUGAGCCUUCUGAUGAGAAUUUCAGAGAGUUGUACUCAAUAUGCAUUGUCAAUCUUAUUGUCUAUAUGCAAACUUGCCCCUGAGGAAUGCUCAUCAAUUGCCCUGGAUGCCGGUCUGGCAGCAAAGCUCCUCCUUGUGAUCCAGAGUUGUAGUGAUCCAGUCUUAAAGCAGCAAUCCGCAGAGCUAUUGAAGCUCUGUAGUCUAAACUACUCUGAUACAAUAUUCAUUUCCAAGUGCAAGCUUUCAAGGACAAUUCAAUGACAUCAAAAUUCUACCACGGCAUUAAGGGCGCCCCACCACUUUGAUGUUUAAUAUGUGGCCAGUCACAGCAUGCAAAGAAUUUCAGAUGAUCUCAAUAUCUGCUAUAUGGGUUUGAGAUACUAAUCAGCUCCCCUGUAAAUAUUUCAAAGUAAUGUUUUUUCCAGCAAUUGAUUCAACAUUCAUGAAGAAGAAGAAGAAGACUCAUGAUGUAGACCUCAUACACCAUGCUGGUUGUAGUUGAAUCAAAUUAAAUUGUCGGGCGGAUGCCAAUGGUUUUUUGAAUAAAUUCCCAGUAGAAAGAAGAAUGUUAAUUAUAGCUGUUGGAUAAAGAUAACUUGUUAGGAGGAAAGUUUUGCUCCUAAUGUAUGGAGCUCGCAAUUGAAAUUGUAAUGGUCGAGAAAUUGCUUUGCUCCACUUUUUGUUCUGCUCUUCUCCUUAGGAAAUUCUACUGUACCUUAAGGUCCUGGUAGAGUGGUAGCUUCCUGUUUCCCUUAUUUUCUUAGUUCGAGUUUUGUUUUGUUUUUGACUCACUGACUGUAGAUUGUAGAGAGACCAUAUGGCCUCUGUCCAAAUUAUCCAUUUUAUGUGUACUGUCUACGUUGAAGUUGUUUGAGCCCGGUGGGUAUUUUUGGUCCAAGACUCGGGGUACGUUUUGGAUAACAUUUGGGCCAGUACCUGUGACCCUUUUUUAAUGCGAAGCCCACGAAGGGUGGCGAAGUCUGGCAACACGCAAGCUGGAGUUUUGCAAAGAUUCCGAUACCCCGCGGGAUCCUUUGUUUCAGUUCGUGUAGGAUUCUACAGGGCAUGGCGAGGUAGAGUUGGAAAAGGACUGUAGUACUCCGCGGGAUAGGAUCGCUUAGUGUUCGAGUUCGCGUACGACGCUACAGUAAGAUGAUGCGGGGCUGUGAGCGAGGUCUAGGCGAGGUCUGUUCUGGACACGUGUUGCACGGAUCGCGCGGCUCGCGAGCUGGUCGUAUCCUUGUGGAAUUUUAAUUGCUGAGUCCGAAUGGAUUGUGAUUAGGUCUAUGCGAAUUGCUAUAUAAGGGAGCUGGACACAAAUCAAAGAGACACAAUCAAUCAUACAAAACAACUGCAAAUCUUCGAGCAUCCUCGAAACCCUAAGUUCUAAGUGCACCUCGCCUUAGAUCUCAGAGCCCGUCUGGACUCGCCUCUCCUUCCUAAUUGUUGCUCUGCUCGCUUCGAACAGUGAGUUUCGAUUCAUAGGUGACUAGAUAGUUUGCUCGUAAUUCCUCGCCCGCGAGGUGACACCGGAGCACUACUUCGCCUGAUUAGAAGUCAAGAACGCGCACCGUUCUCGUUCCGCGUCCGCGCGGUGGCACGCCCUGCAAACCCUAAUUUACUUUUGGUAGCACAAGUUACCUCUCUACCCCUGCUGAGGAUCGUGGCCAAAACAUUGGCACGCCCAGUGGGACAGGGAGUAUAACAUUCUCGUCAUCAUUGGGAAGUCAGGCGGAUCCCCAUACGGGAGACCCUCGAUUUCUUGUUUGAAACACAAAUCACCGCGUUACCAGCCUCGUAACAGCGCGGCCUGUCGCUCACUCACGAAAGACCAAGUAUUAACUCGGUUCGGAAACCCAGAUUUCAGCGAACCUACGAUGGCAGAACUAACACCCACUAGCAGCACUGGCCCCGUCACUCUAGCUGAAGACCAGAUAACGGCCCUGGUCGACCGCCUAACGACUCACACCGACCAGGCAACCCGCCAAUUGCAGGUGGGUCUUGACUCCCUCACCCUGACUGUUAAGAAUCUAUCUGAAGUAGUCAUGAAGGAUAGAGAUAUCUGGCUUGCUAACCAAGAAAACCUUUCUAGGCUCAGCGAGGACUUUAACUUCCAUGCCGGUCAAGUCAGGGAGGACAAAGACUUGGUGGAAGGUUCCCUUCAAAGGAUCCAAAAAGAACUGGAUCAGAGCAAGGUGACUUUCACAGAAACCCUGCAGCUUACCCGCGCAACCGUGGAUGAGCAAACCCGUCGCUUGGACGAGCAUGAUACCAAGCUACAAUUGCAGCAGGACGCUUCCUUCUUUGGAAGUAAGAAUGGCAUAGAAAAGCUCGAGAAAUAUAAGGAGCAACAUGAUAACUUGAGCUUAAGGGUCCUGCAAGUGGAAGACUGGAUGCGGUCUCAGGCACCAAAGAAUCAUGCUAUGAACUUAAUUAGUUCAAGUGCAACUGAGGGAUCAAGGUACAUUCCACCUAAUGAACGCCCUAGGGGGAAUCCGAAGGUCGGGGCCCAGAAGACUCCCCAAUUCACAUUGGGAGCCAGUUCGUCAAAGACACCACCCUUUCUACCCACGACAGGCAACCCUAGAGUCGCACUUGGGGGCGCCGGUGUCUUCCCAUCUCAAGGGAUNNNNNNNNNNNNNNNNNNNNCAAUAUCCCUUCCCUCAUGGGUUUAAGAAUAUUGUCUUCACCACUUUCUCCGGGGAGACAAGGGAAGAUGCAGCAACACACAUGGCCCGUUUUAAGGUCCAAUGCGGCCAAUACGGGAAUGAUGAUAUGCUCAAACUCAAACUCUUCGGGACUUCUCUGUCCGGGGCUGCUUUCACCUGGUACUCCAGAUUGAAGCCUGGGUCAAUAGCAGAUUGGCCCACUAUGGAAAGACUCUUCCGAGAAACGUACGGCACGAUUGAGCCUGAAGUUGGCCUCGACUCCCUCACACAGAUGAGCCAGCAGAGCAUGGAGUCCGGAGUUUCUUUCCUCCAACGCUUUAAGAUCCAGCAAGCCAAGUGUGAUUACCUGCUACCUGAGCAGGAAGCCAUUAAGUUGGCUAUUAGAGGUCUGGAGCACCGCCAGCGGUUGAAGCACCAUGGAGAGCGCUUUAACUCCAUGGGUGACCUGAUUAACAAAGCCGGCAGCUACGUGCUAAUCCUGAACGAGUUAGACGACAAAACAAAUGCUUCCAAAGGAACUUACACACCAGGGAAGAACCGGAUAGUGGGGAACAUACAAACCGCUACUCAUGAUCCAUAUUAUCAAAGACCUGAGGAAGUUCAUACGGAUCAGGACCUGGAUGACAUUGGCGCAGUAGAAUUGACUGGCAAGCCAUUAGCUCAUAAGUUGAAGAACCUAAAGAUGACACGUGAGCCAAUCACCAUCCAGUCCUUUGCAUGGACCAAGCCGGAGUAUGAGUCGUACACCUAUGAUGCUAAGAACGCCCAUUGGGUCUUUAAUGACCUGAUAGAGGCGAGAUAUGUGCACCUGGAUCAUAAGAUCCCGCCCAAGGAAGAGCUGAAGGAUAAGAAGUACUGCUCCUUCCACAAUGUUUACAAUCAUGACACCAAAGAUUGUGUCAAGCUUCGAGACCAGCUGCAGACAUGGCUGAACUCAGGCGAGCUAAAGAUGAAAACACCGGGUAGUACGGCCUCAUUGGUUGAUAUAGACCCUUUCCCGCCUGUAGUUGGCAUGGUCGAGGUAAACUGGGCCAAUCAGACCAAGGACGACGAUCGACGCCGGGCACCUAAAAGGGGCCGCGAGGAAGGUGACGAUGGUGCCCGCCGGCCACGUCGCCAAUACACCUACAACGAAGAUCUUGCACAUGAGGUUUUAGACGAUCUCAUCGACGACGGGCUCGUCACAGUGGCCAGUUCCUUGCCUUACAUCGAAUAUAAGGAGGGGCGCAUUCACUGCAAGUUUCAUAAUAGCUGGGGGCACAGAACCAGCGAAUGCCAGCAGCUUAGAGACCAGGUUCAAGACUGGCUCGACCUCGGGUAUAUUCGCUUUGAGAAUAAGGGCGACUUCAUGAUCGCAACGGCUGACUUCGCGUGGCCUCGAGUCGGCCAGCGAAGAAUCACACUAGACUUGUCACCAAAUGCAGGUUUACGUGAACCGCCGGGCCGAAAUCGCAAACGGCCGGCGAAUAACUAUACUGUCCCGAAUAACCAGCAAGGGAGAGCAGACGACCCAGCUCGACAGUUGGUCACUAAACUCGAAACAGACCGCCCCUCCAGCAAAGAUAAGGGCAAAGCAGUCAUGAGGGACGAUGGACCGUUCCCCGUUGAAGAUCCCCAGCCUAUGAAUCCCAGGACUCGAGAAGAGUUGGAAAGGAGGAUAGAGCGUCUCGAAACGUUCGUCUAUACACAUUGGGCAGAGGCGGUACCUUCAUCCCCUGCCACAAGUGAGAUGGACAUGUCAGACUCCAGCGGUGAACGUCAUAACAACGAGGCCUCGAGCCCUCAUAAAGGCGUCCUAACCGACCCCUAUAUUCCCCCGACGUCCAAAUCAACAAUCAAGGAUGGAGUCUGGUACACACAACAAGGGGGCAAGGCAGUUACCAUCAGCAAGGCUAAGAAGCGAAAGCUCCAAAAGCGAUACGGUAGUAUCCUACGUGCCUUACGGGCUGUCGAAGAGGGCGCUGUACGCCCCUCACAGGUCGCACAGACGCCUGAGCGGAUGUGGAGGGAAGCAGAGGGUUUGCGCGCAUUCCUUCAAAUGCCGCCUGUCACACCCCCAAGGAUUUGCGAGCAGUUCAGCGACGAGCCUGCACCCAAAGCAAACGUCUUUUGCCGACUCGCGGUUCCACCAAAGUAGGAUCCACAGCCUUCCAGGCGCAGGCCAUCACCAGAACCUGAGAGAAGAAAGGAUCCACAGCCUUUCAGGCACAGGCCAUCACCAGAACCUGAAAGAAGAAGCGAUCCACAGCCUGCUAGGCCCAAACCGUCACACAAAGCCUGAAAAGAGGAGGGAUCAACAGCCUUCCAGGCAUAGGCCGCCACCGGAGCCCGAGCGGAGAAAGACUCCGCCUACCGGUCCCAGGCGUAAGCUAUUCACGACCCCGGACCCAGAGUCCAAACGCGAACCGUCUCAGCCCUCACGGCAACGGGAAUGUCAAAAUCUGGAGGCCAAUAUCAGAAGGGAGCCACCACCACCACACCAGCCUCGGGCACGAUCUACCCCGGAGCCCGAGACUCGGAUGGUUCCCCGAUUAUCCGCCCUACAACGGUUGAAAAAAGAAGACAACGAUAAGGCUCCUCUGGCAACAGACAAACAACCAGCCAAGGACCAUCAGCCUUCAACCAAGUCAGUAUGGCGUCCGCGGCAACCCGAGGCUCAAGAGCCACCAAUAGCCGCACAGGCGCCUUCCAGUCCUAACCUCGCCCAACAAAUGGCCCAGCGUUUCCGCGAGAAUUCAGAAGACGACGAGGCACAUUCAGAACCUCGACUUGACCUAGAGGAAGACCGGGACGAAGAGCAGGCAUAAUCAUUCACCUGUAAUAUGAUCGAGGUCUUAGGAUGGGAUGCUGAUGAAGGGUUUAGCAGCGAAGCAGACGCUUUCGCGGUGCUCGAAGGGGAACACGGGAUCAUUGACACUCCUCUGGUCCCAGUUCCUGAACAAUUCUCCUUUCAAGUCGGAAUGGUGUUCUUCAUUUCGGAGAGAUACGCUCUCCCACCAAACAUAACCUGCAGUGCGGCGGAUAUUCCCGUCAGCAGCGAGGAUGUCAGUAGCAUACCCCCGCCAUGCAGCAGCGAAAUGGGCCCGGUUCCGGCACAGGCCGACGACGCCUCACAGGUGGAAAUUACGAGCAGCAUCAAACAUAAGCAAACUCUAACCUUCUCCACACCAACUUUGGACAUGGCCACUCACAUGCGGCCACUGUAUAUCACGGCUGAAGUCGAAGGAAAAAUGAUCAACAAGGUCAUGGUCGACACCGGCGCCGUGGUCAUUGUUGUCACAACCCGUACCAUAGGACUCCUAGACAUCCCGCGCUCGAUGAUCCAAACCACGUCCUUAACAGUCAAGAACUUCACCGGGCAAGUGUCCAGAACCCUAGGCUUGCUAUUCCUCCGGGUCAAGGUCGGGCCGGCGUCACGGGUUUACACCUUUUUCGUCGCCGAAUGCGCUUCCUCUUACAGCAUGAUUCUUGGCCGAGAUUGGAUCCACAGAAGUUUUUGCGUGCCUUCCUCCAUGCACCAAGAACUCAUAAUUUGGGACGCCGAGAAUCGUGAAGCAGUCAUCAUCAAAGCCGACCCGCGGCCAUUCUCUAUCUCUGCCAACUUCAACGAUGCCCGAUAUUAUACUACAGACUUGGGUCCAUUGGAUGUUCAAGGCGUUGAUAACAAGGGCCGCCCAUAUGGAAUAACGACCUCCAAUCUCACUCGAUGGGGGCUUACCCAGGCGAAGGACGAUUUGCAACGUCCUCACACCAUCGCGAGUCCCACACCCCGUUCUGAUGAAUAGUGCCUUCUCAGAGGAGGCACACGAGGCUGGCGAGUCCUUGUGCGAAAGACUCCUUUCGUACUGGGCAGAACGCGAAGCCUACGACAAGGUCGCGACUAUGGAAUAUGUAGAUGAAGUGGUGGAUUAUUCCGAUACCAAGGAGGAAGUUAUUCACUUAGCUCCCGCCGCCUUGGACGACACACCACCUCAAGUCCGCGACCCCAUUUCACAAGUUGACGUAGGGACUACAGAAAAGCCCUUACUUAUUUCUAUCAGUGCCAAGUUGGCGGAGGACGAAAAGGAAACCCUUCUUGCCCUGUUAUGCGAGUACAGGGAUUGCUUCGCCGACAAAUACGAAGACAUGCCCGGCCUGUCCCCGGUCUGCCACCGGUUACCAACUUAUCCCGACCGACGUCCAGUACGGCAGGACGGCCGAUUCAUGCGAACUGAGACUCAGAUCGUAGUCAAGGAAGAGAUUGAAAGCAUGCACCGAUCGGGCAUCAUUCGCGUGGCAAAGUAUAACGAGUGGCUGUCCAAUGUUGUCCCCGUCCGCAAGAAAAAUGGCAAGAUGCGCGUCUGUGUUGAUUACCGCGACCUAAACAACGCAACACCGAAGGAUAUAUACCCCAUGCCUGUGGCUGACCUACUCAUUGAUGCCGCUGCGGGGAGGUGUUAUCAUUUAUGGAUGGAACGGCCGGAUACCAUCAGAUUCCCGUCGCUGAGGAGGAUCGACACAAGACCGCUUUCCGCUGCCCUGGUUUUGCCGGCGCGUUCGAGUACGUUGUCAUGCCUUUCGGACUUAAAAACGCGGGGGCAACGUACCAGCGCGCCAUGAACCUCAUCUUUCAUGACAUCUUGGCGAAGUUGAUAGAAGUAUACAUCGACGAUGUGGUAGUCAAAACCAAAACACGAGCAACCAACGUUGAAGACCUGCGGCAGGUGUUUACACGGAUGCGCCGACACAACCUGAAGAUGAACCCCGCCAAGUGUGUUUUCUUCGCGGAGGCCGGCGAUUUCCUUGGUUUCCUAGUGCAUCAAAGAGGCAUCAAAAUCCCAAAGGACAAGGCAUAGGCGGUAAUCACCGCUUUGCCCCCCACCACCAAAAAAGAGCUCCAACAGCUGCUCGGGCGAAUCAACUUUCUCCGCCGUUUCAUAUCAAACGCGGCAGGGAAGGUCCAGCCUUUUUCACCCCUCCUCAAGCUCUAGGGGGCAACCGAGUUUGUCUGGGAACCACAACAUCAACAGGCCUUCGAUCGAAUCAAGGACUACCUUACGAACCCACCAGUCCUGAUCCCACCUCGCGACGGUACCCCGCUUAAACUUUAUAUCGCCGCUGCCGACUUGUCCAUCGGCGGACUCCUGGCCCAAGACGAUGUGAACGGGGUAGAACACGCUGUCUAUUACCUUAGCAGGGUGUUAACUGAGUGUGAGACACGAUACUCACAUAUGGAGAAGUUGUGUCUUGCCCUAUAUUUUGCAGGGUGCAAGCUGCGCCAUUACAUGCUUGCUUUUACCACGGUUGUGAUCGCUCAAUCCGACCUGGUCAAGUACAUGCUCUCUCGCCCUAUCUUGCGGGGACGCAUCGGCAAGUGGAUCUUAGCCAUGUCUGAAUUCUCGUUGCAAUAUGUUCCGCAAAAGGCAGUAAAAGGACAGGCAAUAGCAGACUUUCUCGCUCAUCACCCACUCUCAGAGCUCACGGCGUUUCGCGAGUUGGAAUUCGCUACCGUGACACUCGCUCCAUGGACCCUGUACUUUGAUGGUUCGCGGACUGACACUGCAGCCGGAGCUGGGAUAGCCAUAGCCAAUCCCGCCGGAGACCGCUUCUCCUACUCGUUCCAGCUCGAUUUCAAGUGUACCAACAACCAGGCUGAGUACGAGGCGCUGAUCAUCGGCCUAGAGAUUUUGUUGAAUUUAGGAGUCCGCGAGGUUCAGAUCUUUGGCGAUUCUUUGUUGGUCGUUAAUCAGCUGGUGGAAAAGUUUAAGUGCUUAAGCUCGUCAAUUGAGCCAUACCUGCGCAAGGCAUUUGAGGUGUUGGAUCGAUUUGACGACGUCUACAUCGAGCACAUUCCACGCGAGUUCAAUUUCGCCGCCAACGAGCUCGCCCAAGUAGCGUCCGGUCUCAGCCUGCGCGACGGCGUGCGCGAACGUUUGCUCAAAGUCGAACGCCGUACGCUUCCCUCUUUCAUCGCUAGGGGGCAAUUUCAGGCCUACACCCCCGAAGUUGCGGCCUUGGACCCUAUCGACGAGGAUUGGCGGCUACCAUUUAUCGCCUACCUCCAGAACCCCAACGACGCCGCUCACUCCAGACAAAUACGUUUCCUCGCCUUAAACUUUGUUUUACGCAAUGGCGAACUCCGGCGGCGUGGGGAAGACGGAAACGAUUUCCGCUGCGUGUAUGGGAACGAAGCUAAACGUAUCAUGCGCGAAGUCCAUUGUGGGGUUUGCGGUUCGCACCAGGCCGGGCCCAAAAUGCGAUGGUUGAUCCGUCGCUAUGGGUACUACUGGCCAACCAUUCUGAAAGACUGUAUUGCCUUCGCCAAAGGUUGCCAAGACUGCCAGGCUCACGGACCAGUGCAACAUAUUCCCAACAUCCCGUUGCAGCCUAUCAUUAAACCUUGGUCAGGUCGCGGUUGGGCGAUAGAUUUCGUUGGCAUUAUUCAUCCCCAUUCUUCUGAGCAGCAUAAGUUCAUUAUCGUCGCCACCGAUUUCUUUACCAAGUGGGUCGAGGCCGAACCACUCAAGGUUGCCUCCGCCAACUCGGUUCGCAACUUUAUUUUCCGCAAUAUCAUCUCUCGCUUUGGUAUCCCGGAGUGCAUCGUUACGGACAGGGGGGCAGCUUUCAUGGCUGAUUCAGUUGUUAAGUACUUAAACGACUACGGAAUCAAGCUUCUCCACUCUACGCCAUAUUAUGCACAGUCCAACGGCCAGGCGGAGGCUAGUAAUUAGGUCAUCCUUGGCAUCCUCCGCAAGAUGUUGGAGUUGAACCCGCGUGUCUGGCAUGAGGAACUCUACCACACCUUGUGGGCUUACCGUACUUCAAAGCGUGGUCCGACGGAUACCACCCCGUACGCUCUCAUGUACGGUCAUGAUGCCGUCCUUCCCCUCGAGAUCAAUAUAGCUUCACUCCGCGUUCAGGAACAACAUCAACUACUUGGCGAGGAUUAUGUCCAAGCUAUGUGGCAGGAGCUUGAAGAUCUCGACGAGCACCGCGUCGCCGCUUUCAACAAUCUCGUCCUCGAGAAACAACGCAUCGUGCGUUCGUACGAUAAAGUCACACGCGGACGGAGCUAUGCUGAGGGCCAAACAGUGUAGCGCGCGGUACUCCCACUUGGGGAAAAAACCGACGGUCGGGGCAAGUAGUCCGCUCGAUGGGAAGGCCCCUUUAUUAUUCAUCGUAUACUCCCCAAGGGGGCAUACCACCUGCGCGACUUGGACGGCACCGUUCAUCGCAAUCCUAUUAAUGGCCGCUUCCUCAAGCGCCACAUUGCAGGAGUUUGGGAACGCGAGGAUCCUCCACCUCCCCCAGACCCCGUCACCACAGUCAAUAGUGCUACGCGCCAUCGCGUUCUCGCUCCGCCGCCUAGCACUAGGGGGCAAUCCGGGAUAGAAGACUGAUAGAGUACGUUGUAACAUACCAGCCUAAAAAGACCAGUAUAAGAUUGGGGCCUAUUCCAGAGGCCCUAAAAAAAAAAAAAGAUAACUCUAUUUUUCUUCAUUUUCUGUAAACGUGCAAAGUCUAAACGCAAAGGCCAGUACAAGAUUGGGGCCUAUUCCAGAGGCCCUAAAAAACAAUAAAUUCAUUUAUUUUGCCCUUUUUGGCGUUGUUUCAAUACAAGUUUCGAACAUCGGCUUUGCGGCCGAAGCAACUACAUUGACAGAAAUGUUGAAAUUAGACUAUGUUUACAAACAAAGGCAUAGAUCUGCAGAUAUUAGAAGCCUCAACCCGCAUAUCUUGCAGGGUUGAAGAAGAGACUGCCGCCGCAUCCUUCGUUUAAAGUUGGCAAACGUCCCGCUUCUUUAGACCAGCACGAGCCUUGACACCGGCCCGGACCUAAGACAAAUUGUUGGGAAGCUAGAGGUCCACUAGACCAGGGUCCCUCAUGCUACCGGUCAUGCCUAGAAGGUGCUUGAAAGGCACUGACCAAAACCUGAAGCGUAGGCGGAUGCGGAGCCUCGAGAGCCUCACGUUUGGACAGAACAGCCGGUGCAAGGCAGAAGGUACCCAACCAUUAGUUCGUCCAAACAAAAGCUUGACCUGAGAGUAGAUUUUCAGAAUCACUCCCGGCCUGAGAGUAGAUUUUCAGAAUCAGAAAAAACGAAGAGUGAAAUGUGAGGUGGGGGCUUUGCUUUAAGAAGGGACAAGCAGAUGUACAGAAGGGUAUAAGAGCCCAUGGCAAGGGGGCAAAGACUUAACUGAUACUUCGCCCCGGCCAAGCGUUUCUUUUUAUAGGCGAGAAGGGUGAUUUUCCUUUCAACAGAUGUCCUCCAUGCAGCGAUUUGCUCCGAGAUAUGAGCUUUGGAGAUAAGGUCGGACGCGUUGUUCCAUAAUGACUACCCGCGUUCCAAGUGAGUAGUUGCAUUGGAAACCCUCACCAAAUCUUGGAAGAAGAUUUUUUUCCUGAGAAGGCAGUUCGUACACAAGAGUUGACAAGAGCGGGAAAAAGUUGAUUUAAUAAUAAUAUUAUAAAGGUUCAUACAAAGGGGGCAAAGCGCUGAUCGGGCCUAAACCCGCCUAGAAGCCCUAUACAAAUCUAUGAGAAGGCCUUCUAAGGCCAACUCUUCAACGUCUGCCUGGGCUUGGGCUUCGUCGGCAGCAGCAGCAGCCGAGUCCAAAGCUUCCUGGGUCUCUUCCGCGGCCUGCACACGGGUUUCUGCUUCUUCAGCUCGGGCCAAGUUCUGGCGAGCUUGAGCAAGCUGAGCUUGCAGCUCCGCUAUCUGAGCCUCUAGGGCCUCCACUUGCCGAGCAUAGACAGUGCAUGGGUUCUCUGACGAUGUCUCAAGGAUUUCAGCGUCAUCAAGCUCGGCUAAAAGGGCUGCCAUCUGAUCGUCUAAGGCUUGGCGGACUUUCUCGUGAGCAGCCGACUGGGCACCGACAUCUUGAACUCGGCGAGCUUGCAGCUCGACAGCGUCGGUGAGUUCCAACACAUGGUCUAGAGCAGGGUUGCUCCCAGCGAGGUGCCGAAUCAGAGCUUCAUGGGCUUCGCGGGCGCGCCUUACCAAGUCGAAUACAUUCAUGUGGGGACCUUGGCGCAGUAACCCAUGAAAGAAAGCCCGGGCCAGGCGAAUGGGCUCUUAAUCGGCAGGCGGGGUAAUCCGGGCCCGAAGACGAGCGGUCCGGGUAGCCAAAGAAGAAGCCGCAUCGCCAGAUGUUCUCGUUGGGACCGGAGUGGUUGGUUCAACCUCUGCAACUGCCUCAAUCUCUGGAACGGGCGGUGGGACCUCAAACCGAGUAGGGACUGUCGGUUCUUCGGUGGUCUGGGCCGCUGAGUCUGGUUGCAAAGGAGAGGGCUCAAGCACAGGUUGAAGGUCCUUUGGCGGAACCGCCGAGGGGGCAGCAAAAUCAGAAAGCCGGGUGGCCUGGCCGAGAUCUUCAUCUUGAGCAGGAGCCGAGGUAGGCUCUGGAGGCGGGCCAGUUUCGCCUAGAGCGUCAGUUGGAGAAGGGGGUCGUACGGCGACUUCCUCUGUAACCAUGGUUUGAUCCCCGACGAUUGGUUCCGGGAUUGGGACUUCGACUAUCGUUGUUGCUCCUUCAAUGACAGCGAGGCGAGGUCGGAUGCGGCGGCGAACCUGUCAAAUACAAAGUUAGCAAAUCGUUUGUUGGCUUUAAUGAGUUUGGUUCGAAGAAAGGUCGCUUACCAAAGCGUGCUCUUGCCGAUAUCGUUCAUCCUCUAGCAGCUCUUCUUCGUCCUCGACAGGGCGUUUCCGCGAGCCUUCGCCGCUUGUUGGCCGGGGAAUAACGGGAGCAGUCUCACCGUCAUGGUCCGCCGCAGGCUCCUCUUAAGCAGGUGCUUUCCCUUUGUCUCCGGCACCCUCAGGUCUUCUGAUAGUUCUCCGGCGGGGGGGCAGACUGUAAAGAUAGACAGGAAAGUUAGGAGGAAGCAUUUCGUCGAGGUGGUAAAGGCGGUAUAGAAUUUACACAGUUAGUGGCAUACCUCGGGUGCGGGAUCGCGUUCUCGAAUGACGAUCCCCGUCGAGCGGCGAGUAGCGGGAACCGGUGGGAGCGCAGGCCUAGACCCUGUCGCAGCCUUUGAACCGCUCUCUUCACGGUCGCGCUGGGCAUCAAGAAUGACCCGGUCUGACUCGCCCAGAGUGUCGUACAGAGGGUAAAAGAUGGCAGCAAAGACAGCAUCAUCUGGGAACCCCCAAUGGUUGUCGGACAAGGAUCGCCACCAAGAGAGAUAAGCGGGGUCAACGCCCAGUGAAGGCUCAAUCUCGAGCAAGUCAAGAGUGAGAGGGAAAAUGUUCUGCAGCGGGGUGACCCGGUCGGACUCGCCAAUCUUCCUCCAGGAGGUGUACUUGUUCACCGAAUGGAAUAGUGGAUAGGGGAUCCCUUGAAAGAAGGCAAGUUGUCUGGCGAAGUGGUUGGGGGCAUACAGCUCAAAGCCUUAUUCAUCCUCGGCGAGCUGAAGGUCGCAGCAUGAGGAUGCUCUCAUGAAGACGGUCUUGGCGUCUGAGUCCGAAUCAGAGCGCGGGAAGAAGCCCGUCGAUAAGACUUCAGGGUGGCGCCGGCGAACCAUCAUGUCUAUGGUGGGAGGCGGUUCGAGUUGAUUGUACAGGAUGGAGAGGCUGGCGAAGAAGGAUAGGGGAGUCCGGUUCGCAGCGUUCCUGCACACCGCGAAGCCAAGCAAUUAGUCCUCGGGCAGGAAUUCCAGCGGGGUUCGCCGGAAGAGCGGGAAGUACAGCUGCAUCCAUAAAUCCAGGAUCCACAGAGGGCCAGCAGAGAGAUGGAAGGGUCUUAGGGACAGCAUGUGCAGGGUCCGGUAGAGCGCGCCCAGUACGGGCUGCCCUAGCCCUACUUCGAUCCCAUUGUAGAGUGCCUUGGCCAGCUUGGUCCAUUUCCCUGUAGGCUUGUGAGCACUGCCACAGAAUGUGAAUUUAUCAAGCCAGUACUCAAGGAAAGCGAUACCUCCUUCGUGUUGUUCUGCAUGGCCGAUGUAGAACUUCCUCCAUACUCCAUACGAGCCUUUCAAGGCGCGGCGGGCCCCCUGGUUGCAGGAGUGCGUAAACUCGGUCGAUGCAAAGUCGCCUGGCGCAUAUGGCUUUGCAUGAAUCGGCAGCCCGGUGAUGGCGAGGAUGUCCAGUAGAGAAAUGCCAAUUUGCCCGAAAGGAAAAUCGAAAGUGUUGGUGGCACUGUUCCAUAAGCAGGCCGCGGCAGCAAUGGGUGCUCGAUCAGCAUGAGGAGGCAGUGAGAAGCUCAAGGCAAUGGCUUCGUUGAUGCCGGUUGCUUUCCAGAUCGCUUGGUCGGUCUGGAGGCGAGCCGUGUACCAUGCCCGGUCCUCCGCGGUGACGCUAGGCCAUUCCCUGACCCGGAUAUUUGUAUGAGAGCGGGCUUGGUGGAACCAUAAGGCGAAGUUUCCCGGUUCGCGACGCUGGGCAAGGAUUGGUCGGCGCACGAAGGCGGUAUAGUGGUUCAGAUCAGCGGCGGACGGAGGUUGUGAAGGAGUCGGACCGAGCAGGGCUGCCCCUGUUUCAAGGAAAUAGAUGGGUGUUCCUUGAGGAGGGUUGUUGGCAAAACGGCGGGCAAGGCCGGUCGACCAAGAGCUCGCCGCCGUGAGGUUAAGGUUUGGAUCGUUAGCGGUUGGUUUGGGAGCCAUUGUUUCUGGGCGGAGUGAGUCCGGUGGUGAAGUUCUGUUGGUUGCAGAAGAAAGGGAAAAGCUUGGUUGGAAAGCGAUGGUGAGACGUGGGGACCCGCAUCGAGGUUUAUAAAGGAGACGGACCGUAACGUCUUUUCAAUCAGUAGCCGUAAUGAGGAGACGCGAUGACGACCGAAACGUCAGCACAUUUCAAAUUUCAAACAGUCACAAUGAUGAAGGGAGGCGAUGAUGCCGAAACGUCAGCACCUUUUGAAUUACGAAUUCCCGUAAAUGGCUCAUUUAGGCCUUUUCGUUUAUCCGUUGCGAAAUGGAUUAAGCUCAAGGCCUAGGGGGCAAUGUUUGAGCCCAGUGGGUAUUUUUGGUCCAAGACUCGGGGUACGUUUUGGAUAACAUUUGGGCCAGUACCUGUGGCCCUUUUUUAAUGCGAAGCCCACGAAUGGUGGCGAAGUCUGGCAACACACAAGCUGGAGUUUUGCAAAGAUUCCGAUACCCCGCGGGAUUCGAUGUCCUCGCGGGAUCCUUUGUUUCAGUUCGUGUAGGAUUCUACAGGGCAUGGCGAGGUAGAGUUGGAAAAGGACUGUAGUACUCCGCGGGAUAGGAUCGCUUAGUGUUCGAGUUCGCGUACGACGCUACAGUAAGAUGAUGCGGGGCUGUGAGCGAGGUCUAGGCGAGGUCUGUUCUGGACACGUGUUGCACGGAUCGCGCGGCUCGCGAGCUGGUCGUAUCCUUGUGGAAUUCUAAUUGCUGAGUCCGAAUGGAUUGUGAUUAGGUCUAUGCGAAUUGCUAUAUAAGGGAGCUAGACACAAAUCAAAGAGACACAAUCAAUCAUACAAAACAACUGCAAAUCUUCGAGCAUCCUCGAAACCCUAAGUUUUAAGUGCACCUCGCCUUAGAUCUCAAAGCCCGUCUGGACUAGCCUCUCCUUCCUAAUUGUUGCUCUGCUCGCUUCGAACAGUGAGUAUUGAUUCACAGGUGACUAGAUAGUUUGCUCGUAAUUCCUCGCCCGCGAGGUGACACCGGAGCUCUACUUCGCCUGAUUAGAAGUCAAGAACGCGCACCGUUCUCGUUCCGCGUCCACGCGGUGGCACGCCCUGCAAACCCUAAUUUACUUUUGGUAGCACAAGUUACCUCUCUACCCCUGUUAAGGAUCGUGGCCAAAACAGAAGUUCAACAAGUUCGUUUUCCAUUCAUAUGCUUCAUGGUCUCUGUAUAUUUGUUCUCUCAUUCUUCUGUAAUCUUCUUCCUCUUCACACCUAGUACUUUUCAGUCUAAAUUUAUAAAAAUUUGGGUUUUCCCUCUCUUUUUUGCUUGUGUACACAGAUUCCCACAGUGAGUGAAAAAGAGGCAUUUUGCAGGUCCUAGCUUUCACUAUAUCAUGUACAGAAGUUUACUAUUUAGAGGUGCCUUCUGUACGUGCCUGUAUCCUUUAGUGGUAAACAGAUAAGAUCUGGACCAAUUGAUAAUUGAUAGGCUUUGUCACCUCAUUCACUCACUUCUGAAUUGAAAGGAUUGAAAUGAAAACUCAGAGCUUGAAACUGGCCAUGUGCCAUUUGUUUCCAAAUUUUGAGUGCAGAAGCAGCAGCAGUAGCCCUACCUCUGCUGCCUAGUGUGUGCAACUUAAUGCUUCUACAGCAAGGCAUGAAUAAUAGUAGCAGAACUGCAGAACUAUGCAGAAUUUCAAAAAGAUGUUAUUUUCAUACAAUAAAAUUGGAUCCAGUACCCAUUAUUGUCUGUUUUAUACUAGGGACGUUUAUACUAGAUGUUUUAGGGGUUUUUUAGUUCAAAAUUAUGAUGGUUUGUCUUGUCUUGACUGGAAGAUCCUUGAGUUCCCUACAAUGGACAUACGAAAUAACUAGUUGCAUUUGGAUAUUAGUUUGGCUUUGCACACCCUUUUCUUUUAUGGAUACUCUGUAGGGUGCUUUUCAUAAUUCACUAUUUACUUUCUUUCUUUAGUUCAUUGUUUGUCCCAAGUUAUACAAGGGCCAAAGGCCAAAGCAAACAAAAGAUUUCUCUCCAUUUUCUUGCUUGGCAAAAAAGCUCCUUUAUGUAAAGAAGCCACUAGGGUAGUAGGGUAUGUUUUGAAUGAGAGUUGGGACUUAUGAGGCCCAAUUUUUUUUAGAAAAGAGGCUAUUCUUGUGGCCAAAUAAAGGGAAAAUUAUAUUAUACCGGAUGACAUAUUACGCAAUAUGUUUUGAAGAAAAAAAAUUUCAAAACAAAACACCCAACUGUCCUGUGCAAAGCAAGUGCUUUUAUUUGUAUCAGUGUAGCAGACAAGUCCCGAAAAAAGAACAUAAACUUCCUGUUCUGCAAUUUUCAUGUUUGUGAAAAUCUGCCUAUGAAUCCAGUCCUUGAAUGAAUAAGUUAAUGCGAGGAACAUGUAGAGCAAGUUCUCUGAAUAUUUUGGGUUUUAGUUGAUAUUCGAUCCUGGAGCUUCUCCUCUGUUUUUCCUGGGCCAAAGAGGAAAAUCUCCAUAUUCUUAACCGAAAGAGAUAUGAUAAAUGUUUGAGCUGACAUCAUGACAGAAGAUAUGACUUUCUUGAUGUUCAUACCGCUUGUUGCUCAAAACCUCGUGAAGUUGUAGUUAAAAGUUUUUGGGGCUUGUGGCCCUAGCCUCACAUCUUCUAUACCAAAAGGGAAGAAAAAUUUGACAGUUCAAUAAAUAAUUUCCAAUAACAUUUCUAUCAAAUUGUUCAUAUCAAAGUUCUUAUUGAUAUGGCUAAUUGGCUAUUGAGGGGGUGGAUCUGUUACAUAGCAGCCCAUUUUGAUGAGAUAUGGACCAACAAUCCCCACUUUGAUAAACCUCCUUUCUGCUAACACUGAUGCCCUUAAUAUGCCUCUCACCUUUUAGCCUCUGACUUAAAUCUAUUGCUACUUCUGCUUCUAAAUUUUAUGAAAUAAAAACCCAGUUACUAUUCGACCUUCAUUAUCACUCAUUCACUUACUAGUCGAGUACUCGAGUUAUACUACGGUUGAUUUACAAUCUUCUCUAGCUUUCAUUGAUGUUGAUAGUUUAGUGUUUGAUUAUUGCGAAACACGGAAACAGUCAUCUGAAUUCAAAGUCAUCAUACGGCUGCUCUUGAUUCUUAAACAUGUUUCGAGUGGGAAUUUUUUCAAUAUAUGUCAUUAGAAUUCAGCCACAAAGUCUGUUGCCAUUCUUUCAAUCUACUUCAAGAGUACGAACAGUAUGAAUAUAUUAGAAAACACAUAAAGCUUUAUGUAUAACAAGUGUUCCUCAAUCAUUAUUAGUAUAUCGUUUACAUAUACCACACAGUACUCGAAACCAAUUAUGGUUUGAAAACUAGCUAGUUGCUCUCAAGGCGGAGGGCAGAUUUGGAGCGCCUAAAAGCUGUCUAAACGGGCUGGGUGGUCUUGUUUUAGAACAUUGUUCAAACCACACAAGUAAGCCUAAGUUUUUAGUCAGCAAUGCUUCGAUAACAACUGCUUUCGCAUUGAAUCUGUAAUUUUGGAUAGCAAGUAAAUUGAUUAGUUUAUCUUACUUGUUUAUCUUUUAUCAGGUAGCAUGUAAUCGAUCCGUUACAUGUUAACCACCAUUAACUGUUACCAUGCAGAUACCCAUUAUAUUACCCUAAACACAUCUUAGUUCCAGUAAGCCAACUUUUUAUUCAUCAACCCUUCGAUAACAACUGCUCAUCAGAAAAAGGAGUCAAGCUAGGAUUCCAAAUAAACACGUGUGCCAGUGAUUGGUAUAGAAUUUUCAGAAGUUUCAUAGUUAAUGGUAUAUAUGCAAGAGCUAAUUAUAUUUGUUAGUCUUCGCUAAUAGUUUGUAUAGUUAAACAACCCCUCGAAGAUUCUCCCGACACUGGUGCAAUACAUUGUGCAAAUUAAACACAUCGAGCUAGUAAUAGCGGCAUCAACACUUCAAUAUCCAACACCACGUAUUGGAACAUAACCUGUCAUAUAUUACAUGGAUCAAUUUUUACUAAAUUGAUUGAUUGAACUCAUUGAAGUACUAUUUCUAAAAGUUCCCAUUCAAUAUUUUCAUAUCUUCUAGCAAGUUUCAAUCAUUUUGUUCAAGUUUUCACUGGUUCUGCACUUCGCUCUAGAAAUUUGGAAUGCCCAAGUCUUACAUCCAUUUCUAUGUUUCACCCAUAACUAGAACAUAUGAGUUUUGGUCAAACGGUUUUCGUUCUUUGAUCUUCCAUAACCAAAGCUGCUUACAUGAACUGAUGAACGAGAUGGAGAACUUCAAAGGUCCUACGCGGCCUUUUAUUCCUUCCAGAGAAGGAGUACUACAUAUUCUGAUAAGCUAGUUUGCGUGACUCAGAUUUCAUUCCAGUCGUGUAAUACUAAUAACAUAGAAACGAAAAUGCUGCACAAAUUGACUGUUUCUUUGGAGUUUGGUCACCUUCAUUUCCCAACUAAUUGAAAGGAAAAAACAAAAACAUGUUUGUUUCCCUUAUUAUAGGAGCACGAGUAUGUGAUAGCGAUUAUUACGAACAAUCUUUGUCAUCCAUAUGUCAUUGCUUACAAAAAUGACCACAUAUAAUAAGUUUGGAAAGAGAUUUGAGUGGCUGCUGCUACUUGAUAUAUAAAUAUAUAUAUAUAGAGAGAUUUUCUCAGCUGCGGACGUCUGCACCGAUUUUUUGGUGCGGAUUUCCAUUUUUACACCACUUUCCGAUCGAAUUUCCUCAAACUUCCUUCUAGACAUAUCUAGAUCAUCUUGUGUAGAUCAUCUCUGCAAAAUUUCAGCCAAUUUGGUGAUCGUUAAGGCCCUCAAAAUCGAAAAACAAAUCUGACGGACUGAAUUCUGUCCGAUUCAGGUAUAUAACAGAAAAACGCAAGUUUAGGGUUUAGGGUUUAGGGUUUAGGGUUUAAUGAUCAGGUAUAUUUAAGUUAAUUUGGUGAUCAUUAAGGCUCUUGCGUUUUUCUGCCUUUUCUCCCACUUAGCUUACUGCUAGACUAAUUGUGUUUUAAGUUAAUGUACGAAAUGAGAUCAAUAAUAUCGACUUCAGUUAUGUAUUUCAUGCAUGCAUGAGCGUUAGUAGUAACAUCGACAAGGCUUCCCAUGAAACUAUGGCUCCGCAAAUUGUCAAAGAUUAUGCUGAUCUUGAUCAGAGGUUAGUAUAUGAACAAUUUGUUCUGGUGUGUACGGAAUCAUCUGUGAAGGGAAUAAGUUACUUGCGCCGAUAUAUGUACGUAUAUACUAGCUAGCCAUUAAUUAUUGAAGAGCUUCUCGAUAGAUGAAGGACAAGCACUUCUAAAAUUAUAUAUACUGAAAUGAUUUGAAGAAGAUUUGGAUCUUAGUCUUAAACAUAUUAUGCAGAUGCUUCAUGCUUGGGUGACAAUUCAACACUCACAUGCUUCUUUUGUAUCCAUACUUAAUUAACAAAAACAAUUACAAGCAAAAACACAUUGCUAAAUCUAGAUUUCUAAAUGCAUUUAUCUGAAAACUAUUGAUUCGAUCUUGCAAUAUAUCAAUAAGUAAAUUGAAAUCAUGUAAUUACGAUUUGAUCAUUAAUUAGUACUUAGUAGCUUUAUGAAAACAAGUCGUCCAACAUGUUUGCUCAUCAGAUCAUUAGAGUUAGAUUACUAGUUUCAUAUUUUGGAGAGAAAUGGUGUGCAAAUGGACGCCCUAAGAAAUGAUAAACCAUUAAACCUAGUUUGCCGGUUCAGACGUGGUUUGGUUAGAAAGAAAAUUGUUGUAAUUUGAUAUGGGCGGCAUAUAAAUCACGGGGUUGUCUAUGGUACUAGGGUGUCUAUAAUUAGCACCCUGAUUCUGCAUUUUUGAGGCAAACAUAAAAUUAAGUUACCAUCCUCAUGCUAGCUAAGUAUAACUUUCAUGUUCAACAACACUACAACAGCGGUGAGAACGUGCAUAGUAGCUUGGCAUCUUUCAAGUACAGGUGAUGAAACUGAUAAACAAACGAUUCACGAGAGGUGGCUUACCGAUCAUACAAAGAACUUGUUUUACAUAUUGUAUAUGUUGGAAAUGUUCAUACAGUUAUUAGAUUGAAAUUCAAGAAUUGACAUCUUAAUUAUAUUUUAUUUAUGCUUGCAUAUCAGUAAUUUUUCCUUUCACAGUACUCCACGUACCUCUUUGACUGACAUUUAAAAUGAAACUGAACUAGUUCAUAUAUAUGCAUUCUCGAGCGGCUAGCUUACCAAGUGCAGUAACAACGCUACCGUUUGUUUAUAUUAUCAAACACACAAUCCUACUCAAGCAGAGGAUUAGUAAGAUCGAGUCUAAGAUAGAUCAAUAGAGCUCUGUUUUCUUUUUUCUUUUCAUGCACUAUCACAAUCAUUGAGCUAUUCACAAAUAAUCGAUCUGGUCAAAUAUUGAAAGAAGAAGAAAGAGUGUGCACGUGUAUCAAUUCAUCAAAGGGUCCUUGAUGUAUAGUAAAAGGGCGGCUGGUCCACCUUUUUCUACACCUUUUUUUUUUUUUUCUUAAGCAGGCAAGUAGUUUAUCCUCUUUCCUAUCUCCCUCUUAAUCCAAACACCAUAUUCUAGUAAUUAAAUCCUACUUAACUAUCAUUGUACCAAUGACUAACUCAAAAGUAAAUGUGGAAGAUCUACAGGUUACAAGUGGUCGAGCUUGUAAGAAUUUAGGUAUGAAAACUCUAUACUCAUGUUCAAAUCUCGUCGACGUUGAUUCUUAAAUCACAAUAUAUUAUUGAUGGUUAGAGAGAAGGAAGCAUUUUAACAUGAUCUAAUGACACAAAGUAAUCCGGACCGACUAAGUAUUUGAAGAAACCAUGUUUUAUCAACCAAAAAUAAAAAAGAAAGCUCACAUGUGACGGAGCACAAGCAGAAGCACAAGCAUAAUCUUCCUAGUAUCUUUAUAGUAUACUAUGGAUUGUUUAGAGAUCUAUUAAGUACAAAGCAUACACUUUGUCACUACAUAGUUGUAAUUUACAUAUCAUAAUUAAAGCAUUGAUGUUUAUUAUAUUAAAACAAAAAUAAGUUUUGAUAAAUUAAAACAACAAACAUGACUUUAGAGACACGCUGUAUAAAAUUACGGGAAUUAUACAGCUUAAAAGUUGAAAAACUUAGAGUAACUCAGUGUCACGAUUACAUUUUGUUUAUGUUUUCCACCGCUGAAGAGAUGUUGAUGUUGAUCGUGUUGAAGUCAAACUCAUUUUUGAUGGUAAACACGAUUUCAAUUUUAAUUGUUCCUUUAGCUAAAGGUGUGCAAGAAAUUGACAAAAGCAUUUUAGGUAUGACCUGACCUAAUAUAAAAAUAGUUCUAGUUUUAUAACAAAUAUAAAAAUGGUCAAACAAAAAGAUUUGACCACAUGUAUUACUUACCUACAUGCGUCACACUAAAAACACCGCCGACGGCUCAAGACAAAACCGCACCUUUGAAACCCCUUCUUCUCUUCUUCUUCCCAACGGCUUCGCUUCUAGGUCGUUGCCUUUCUUUACUUCCCACUCCUAUUCCCCUCACCCCAACUAUAUAUAUAGAUAUGUAAAACUAAUAGCAUAUUCACAACUCCCACAUCUCAAACUUCAGCUCAUCUCCCUCGCAAAACCUCUAGCUAGAUCCACUACAAUGGAAGCUGCUUACUCUUCAUCCUCUUCAAUCACCUCCAAGCAAGCACCACUGCCUUACCACCACUCCUCACUCCACUCCGUCAAGAAAAACUCAGCCAAACCGUGGCGGAAGCCGGCAGUAGCGCCACUCCCUCCGACUCCUCCCCGAGUCUACAAAGUCGACCCCAUCAACUUUCGUGACCUUGUCCAGAAGCUCACCAGUGCACCCGAGUACCAGAACGAGCCGACUCGCUCGACUAACCUCCAGAGUGUGGCGCCUCCACCUAUCGAAAUCCAACGAGGACCGCCACAUGUUCCUUCUCCGGUUUCGGCUAAGGUUACCGGCAGCACUUCGCCGUUUUCGGUUAUGUACAAGGACUUGGCUGAGACGUUAGGGCUGAGUAUUACUCCUCAGCAACAGAAGAAGCCAGUGGAUCAUCAGAAUAUCAUGGGAGACUCGAGCUAUCUGAAGUUGAAUUUGUCGCCGGCUUCGCAGCAUUGGUUCUCUUUUCCUAUGUUGAGCCCUGGAACUCUGACCAGUCUUGAACUCUAGCUAAAAAUUAAGUAGUUCUAGACUGCCUAUACUAGCUGGAGAGAAUAUGUGAACUCAUAUAUGUGAACUCAUUUUCUCGAAUUUGUGUUUUUUUUAAGAGUUCCUUACUUAUUUUUUUGCUUUCAGUUGUAAUGCUAGCUAGCUCAUCAGUACAGAAGUUGUUUGAUCAUGAUCAUUGUGGAAAUAUGGAUUUAAUUAAAGCAAUAAUUGGGUACCUAUAUAUGGACUUUGAUGAACUAUUACAAUAAUUAAUUACAACUAAGUAUAUAUUUUGUCUUAAACUUCGGCUUGUCUAUUACUCCAUUGUCAAUAAAAUUCAUAUUUAUGCCGGUUUAAAGUCGUGCAUUUCAAUUAUAUAUUUCGUCAACGUACUUUAGCUUGUCUCUAAUGUCAAUAAAAUUUAGAAUUCUGGCGGUUUAAAGUCGUGUUUUUUGAAUUUUUGUUCGUUUUAAUUUUGAAAUAUGAAUACCAGCCUAUUUUAUGUAAACAAGUAUUAUGUGAUAGCCCAACCAAUAACUCUCUAUUUUGGUUAGUGGUUACAUGCAUGUCUCGGUUAUUGCUAAUUUUGGUCAUUCUAACGUGACUAUUUUUUCUCUUACGAGUGAGAAUAUAUAUUGAGUUCUUUAGUUCAUCAAUGUUUGCCUUUGAAGUCAUAAUAGGUAUUGUGAUUAUAACCAAUACUUAAUAGAAGUUUAUUGAAAUGAAAUUUAUUUAAUAAAUAAUAAAUAAACACUUUCAAUCACCCAAAUUUAGUUGUUGUACAUUGUUAAUGCAUACAUUAAUGGAGAUCUAAUUAAUGGAAGAAAAAGAGGAUAGAGACAAUGAGACACGAUUUGUAAUGUUUAUCUCCCUCUUUGUGGUAGACUAGAUCCACUUAAACUUGUACUAUGGGCCCCCAUAAUAUUACUAGUUGUAAAUGUGAUGUUGAGUGAGUGGGAAGAAAUCUCUAUUGUCUUAAAUGCAGUACAAAGUGUCUCAUUUCCUUAAAUGUCAGACAAAAAAUCUCAUUUCUAAUCUUCAAAGCAUGCUUGUGGAGGCAUAUUGGUGAGGCUGGAAAUGUGGCUUUCCGGCGAGGUUUUAGCCGUUUUUGAGUAUUGUUGGGUAGCUUAUAUGUUGGGUUACAAGAUGUAUGUUGCGGUCGGACCUCACCAUGGUUCUUGACACCACAAAAAAGGUGACGCUCAUAUUAGCCAUGCUAGUGGCCGGUAUACCAACAUACGUAAAAUGUGCAUCUAUUCCUAGUAACUUAAGCAGCCACACAACAAAAUUGUAUCAACUCUAUAUGGAGGAGAAGGUUCAAAAUUUGCCGCCACUAAAGAGUGUAGGGGACAAUCAGGCGGCCGAGAAAACGAGUGGUGUGUGGUGAUCAAAUCGCUUACCUAAGUUGGUUCGUUGCUUAUAGUCGGAGAACUAGGUGAUAUGGCAAUGGUUUGUACUUAUUGAGAAAAUUAUUAAAGGGACAACUCAGUUCUGUCUUUUGUGUUGUGAAUGAUAUACGCAUGAUGUGAUCAAUGAUGGAGAUAUUACUAUUUAUUUAGUUGAUGAUUUUGAGGGAUCAUUAUCACUUUGCCUCACCUAUCGGGGGGCACCGUCCCCUGUUAGUUCUAUUUUUAAUUCAUAAUAAUUACACUUAUUUAUCUACUAAAGUAUUAAACUUGUUAUAUUUUGAGAUUUUUCGGUGGUAUUUUAUAGUACCAUAUGCUUGAUCAUAAACAUUGUUUUUGGAUUGAGAAUAUUGUGAUCAGAAGCUAUUGGAUUGAUGUUUGGUUUCUUUAAUUUCUUCGUAAAAGAAAAAAAGAAAAAAACGCGUCAUGCAUUCACAAUAUUCCCAACCUAUUUGCAUAUAUUAGAUAAAUUAACAUACACAUGAUCAUAACAUUUGGAUUGAUCAUAACCAGCACUAUAUAUAUACAACUGUUAGCGGAGGUUAAUAAAGCCCAUUAGAAAAGCUAUGGGCAACAGAGUUGAAGUCUUAAUUCUAAGCGAAGAAGUUUCUCCCUCUGCAUUUGAGGAAUCAGCAAGAAUCAUGAUAAUACAGACUAUUGAUCCCAGUAAUUUCUAAGCUGUGACAUGUGAAGCAGAAGUUCAUCCCUGCCCAAACCAGUUACGCUGCUAGUCAUGAUCCAUGGGGGAUGUUGCUUGUAGUUUUCUGCAAUGAACUGCUUGAAAUCCCUGAGGUUCUCGUCAGGCCUUUUACCUUUGCCCCCUUUCAUUUUGUCGCACUUCGUGAAGACAAAAGUCACUGGUAUCUAAAUGCAGAAAAAGAAGAAAAGACCAUGAGGGCAUUAUCAUGAGGUUAAAAGAGAAAGUAUUUCAUAUAAGAAACCAGCAUACAUUGUUUCGUCCAAGCCAAUUCGCACAGUCUAGGUCAAUCCUCUGAGGUGGAACACUGGCAUCAACAAGAAGUAGAACAGCAACAAGAUUAUCUCUGUUUAAAAAGAAACCUUUUGUGAAUGCAGACCAAUCCAUCCGUGCAGCUUCUGGAGCUUUAGCGAACCUGGAAACAAGGUGAACUGCUAGAGAUUAAAAUUAGAAUAAGAGGAGGCUAAAGGUAAUUUCCUCAGUUGUAAGAUAUACUUUCUUUGAAAAAAAAAAAAAAACCACUGGAGUUCUACCUAAUUGUUUCGGUUGAGAUGUUAUAAAUAUGAGUUCAAACAAUUUAGCAACAUGAGGGUAACAGAACUCCAGGAUAAAUAGUUAGCAAUCUUAUAAGCAACAUUAUCUUCACAAUUAGAUAUGAUUACCAAAAUUACAGCUAAAGAUGCAACCAGAGAAAAAUUUAAGAUUCAUCAUUCUUUUUUCCUUGGGUCAAACAUGAUUAAUCAUUUUGUAAUCAACUCCCACAGCACAAUAUAAGGUCUCAGACUCUCAAUCACUAGUAACAUGAAAUGACUCGUAUUGAUUAACAUCCACUAAUUCUUCCUCAACCUCCAUGGGAGCUGUGCAUUCAAAUCUACUGAAAACACUAAGACACCGGCUUUGUGAGUAUGAAGAGAACACCAGGUCAUUCUGGGCAUCUCAUAGGUAAUAUAGGGUUGCUUUACGGAAAAUGGGGGCGCUGUCAAACAGCUUCUAAGUUCUAACAACUAGGACUGACUGUAAAGUCUGGCACAUCCAGAAACAUGAACUUAGAAACAACAGUUGACACAGCAAACCAUAACAUACUUUUCUAAACACCUAUAGUAACAACAGUUACCAUGUGACCAAUCUUGUUAAAAUCAUAAAUAACCUGACCAGAUAGGAUUCCCUGUCCUAAAUCUAUCCAUAGUCAGAGUCAAUUCCUUGCCAUCAACUAGUGCAUGUCAAACAAACUGAACUUAGAACUUGUAACUUUAAAGUAAAAAAAGGCCAUAAGAAUGCUGCGUGCAAGUCUUGAAGCAGAAAUAGGUAUCAUUUUGUAGUAAACUCUCUGCACGCUAAUCAACACUAAAUUCAGCUGACUAUUGGAACCACAUAAGAUAAUGCCAUCAGACAAAGAUAAUCAUAUCUAGUUAGUCAAUUCACCAAAGCCUCAAUCCCAACUAAAUGGAAUCCUAUAUAAAAACUCUAUCCUUUAGUUAGAUAAUUGCAGCUAAGUGAAAAAUAACUGUUAUGUGCUCGGUGCAAACUCUCAUACUGAUACUUAGUCUGGUUGGACUUCACUGGCCCAGUAAGCUUGCAUCACCUUUCAGAUCACAAAAAAGUGCAAAUGCCGACUAUUAAACAAAGAUUAUCUGUAUUGCUGGCUUGGUAAAACUGAUUCAACUCAUUUAGAGCACUUACUUCCAGUUAAGUUCAAGACUUUCUGAGUUUCGGUAGUACAAUUGAACUACAAACAGCUACAUAAUAUAAACAAUCUAAUUAUCAUAAAAACACCACAAUCCCAAGGAGGAGAAGCUAACAGAUCAAUUUGACCUUACACUUGACACGCACUUCAUAAGCUUAAGAAGAACAAAGUUCACAAGCUAAAAUUUUCAAUUGAUACUAGUACUCACUACUCAGUACUCACCCAUAACCAGGCAAAUCCACAAUGUACCAACUUUUGUUCACCAAGAAAUGAUUGAUCAACUUAGUCUUCCCUACACAAAAAAACAAGCAACACCCACAAACCCAAACACAUCAAAACCACCAAAACCUCAAAAAAAGAAACCAACUUUUCUUUAUGAAACAAAACCAAACCUGGCUUCUUAGAAGUGAGAGCAACAUCCUUCUUCUUAACCAAGGCAUUGAUAAGCGAAGACUUUCCCACAUUGGACCGGCCCAGUAUAGCAAACUCGGGGCGGUCAUGUUUGGGGCAGUCCUUAGCUCUACUACUGCUCUUCACAAACACCACCUCCUUAAUCUUGGCAUCGCCAGCGUAGGGUCCGAUGACGAUGUUGGACCCGGGUAGGACCGUGUCUUGGGUCACCUCAUCAUGGUCGACUCCGGGCGGGACGAAGAGGACGGCGCGGUCUUUCUCCAAGAUGGGUGUGGUUUUCGAGGCUGAGGAGACAUGCCGGGAGGGUUUUGGGGUGGUUGAGGUUGGGAAGGUGAGUGUGAGAGGUUGGGGUUUUAGAGAGGGAGAGGGAGGUGGCGAUAAGAAUAUGGAAGUGAAAAGCAGACGGUUUCGAAGUACCAUUGUUUUUGGGUUCGAGUGAGGCUGUGGAAAAUGGAAAGACCACGUCUUUAACGACGACUCGAUUGGCUCAAUGGUAGGAGUUAGGACCAACUAUUGUUAGGCUAGGUGGAUACUAUACAAGAUCAAGUUACUCUUUUUAUUUUUUAUAUAUUAAAAUUAAAAUGAAAAACCACAAAACCGUCCAUAAAAUAGACGAUUACACUAGAAAGCUAUUAACAUAUACAAACCGAUCAAAAAAACCUACAUAUCAACAUGAGGUUUAAAGACCCAACAGUGUACAUGUCCAUCAUUAAGUAGGGGAAUACUCCAAUCAAUUAGUAUAAGAAUCUUUGUUCCUCCCACAAGGCAAUUAGUCUCCAUCUGCCUCAGAAGAGGCAUCAUGCUCUGGUGUGCCCGAACCGGAGGCCAUGAAUUUACCAUCCUCCACUUCUGCCAACCCAAGUUGUUUUGGUCCACGAGCCGAGGUUCGCUUCCCUAACUUGAGACUAGGUCCAAGCCCAAACCCAAAUGCCCAAAUCCAAACCCAAGCAUCAAUAGCCCAAACCUAAAUAAACUUAUUUUGUCCAGCCACUUGCAACGUCGCAUUCUUCGGCAACCUUGACUGCCGACAGUGGAAACUGGAGUCUAACUCUGAUCGACGCCCAACUAUCUUCCAACAUCUGUCGUCGACAACCAUGGGGGAUAACCAUCCUUCCAAGCAUGAGCCCAAUCAACCCAGUCCAUGGCCACUAGGCACAACGCCACCACCACCCUCUAGUCGACGACGUCAACGCCCUUGCAAAAUCCUCGUCGAUGUCGAGAGCUAUCCUCCAUAGCCGAAGGCCCACAGCCCAAAAACCAAAGCAAGAUCGGUCGUCGAAUCCUUCAAGGCAACCUCCCGCCAUUCAUGAGCGCCAUAGGGCUAUGCCGACACCAGAACAUGAACGACAUCUUCAGGAGAGCGCUGCCGCCUAUUGAAACCAUAAGUUAUUUUCUGCGAACCAAACGAGGCCUGAGAGAAUCAGAGUCAUUAGAGAACAUAAGCUGAAUAAUUAAAACCAUGCAAUGCUAUAAGUUUUUUUUGCAUUGGGCUUACUACAAUUCUCGUACAAUUAAAUGACUUAAAUAUAAGAUUUCUUUGAUGGAGACACAAUUUUCUCAAAUGCUUUUUAGACAUAAAUACUAAUCUUAUAAGAUUAUCUAAUGAUAAACGGACUACCGCUGACACACUAAUCUACCAUCCCACUUUCUUUUUUUUUUUAACCCAAGUGGUAAACAAAACGGAUCUGGAUCCUCUCCUAAUAUACCUCUGCUAAUAUUACCCCAUAAAGAGAUCUCGGCCGUCUAUUCUCAAUGGAUGGCCAGGAUUACACUUACAUUUUCUAGGUGAUAUUAUCGUCUCUCUCUCAAAAUUUUCGCCAGCCUCUUCUCUCUCUUUCUCUCUCUCUCAUCCUCGCCAUCUUCAAAAGCUCCGACGGAGAUGAAAACACAAUCCUAGCCUCUUCAGCGUUCUUGUGACCAUCAACGAGUGCCACGACAUUGCUCACCGUUGCGUCGAUCUUUCUUGCUCUGGCAGCGGUAAGCUUCUGAUGCGAAGUGACCUCGACAAGCUCGCCGUGAAGCUUGAUCUUCAUGCCGGAAGUGGUUUAUUGAUUGGGUUGUUUUGAUUGUGGAGGAAAUUCAAGAUGGGUCGGCAGAGAUUGUGACUUUGGUUUAUGGGUUUGGAACUUUGGAUUGUGUAAACGGGUUUUAAUGGAAACUUGAUUGGUCUGCCAACAUAAGCCUGAAUUUCUCCAGAGAUUGUAUAAUUGAACAAACAUCUUCAGAUGUAUUAUCAUCAUUCAACUACUAUACCCUCCUCCACUGUACGAGGGGCCUCCGUUUUUGAUCAAACACACCCUUUUGCACAACAUUUAGGACAUUCAGUUUAUAUCAAUCAGCUCCAACAACUCUUGCAAGCCAACUCCAGUUGUAGAAGAUGUUCUAACAUUUGGACCAGAUGGUACUCACUGUUGGUUCUCGGAACUCUUCGAGCCCAUGCACAAGCCACUUUCAACCCAAGGAUCUUGAUUAUUUUUUGACUCGUAAUCGAAAGAUAGAGAAGAGGGAGAGAUGGGAGGAAAGCAAGGUGUGAGAUUAAUUUGCAGGUACAAUAGAUGAGAUUUUCAUCUCUGUCGAGAAUUUGCGAAGAGAGAGACGAUAUAAUAGAUGAGAAAAGACAAGAGAAAACAUCUCAAAAGCUAAUCAUGACCAUCCAUUGAGAAUAGACGGCCGAGAUCUCUUUAUUGGGUAAUAUUAGCAGAGGUUUAUUAGGAGAGGAUCCGGAUCCAAACAAAACAUGCAAUUUUAAUCACACUGUUACCAAAAAUGCAAUGAUGUUUACAUUUUUGCAAAAAAAAUCAUGUUAGCAAGGUGAAUUGUAUAUAGAUCCUUUUUCCCUGUUUUUUUUUGUUACAAAAUCCUUUUUCCUUUUUGUACAUAGGUUAAUUUGUACUUUCUGAAUUAUUGCAAACCUAAUUAAAAAUUCCCGAAGCCAGAACGACGCCGUAACAGGACUCUGAAAUCGCUUUACCCAACAUUCAAGAAGGCCGACUCUGCAAGUCAGAGAAAACACACUAGCCUUGCCUUCGAAGCUUUCCGAUUUUCCGAUCACAAUGUCGUGGCUCGCCAAAUCCAUCGCCAACUCUCUCAAACUCGACGACGACGAAGACGACUACACCAAUCCCAACCCCACCACCAACCAAAACCCUAACUCCAAUGACCCCAACUCACCUCAACCCGGCUCGCCGUCCUCCGAUCCCCGCGGCGGCGUCAAAGGCGACCUCUCCGAGCUCACCAAAACCCUAACCCGCCAGUUCUGGGGCGUCGCAUCCUUCCUCGCCCCACCGCCCGAUGCGGCCGCGCCGAAACCCGCCGAGCAGGGACAGCCGUCCGAUCCCGAGGUCUCCGAGGAGGACGUGAUCGCCGGAAUCCGAAGCGAUUUCGCGGAGAUCGGCGGGAAGUUCAAGAGCGAGAUCUCGAAGUUUUCGAGCAAUAUAAAAGUUUCCGAGUUCACUAAGAUCGCUUCGAAUUUGCUUCAGUUUGGAUCGGAGGAGGAGGCCGAGGCGGCUGGGAUUGCUCUCGGUGUCACGCCGGAGGUUCUUGCGUUCGUCAGAAAUAUCUCUAUGCAUCCGGAGACUUGGCUUGAUUUUCCUCUCUCUGAUGAUGAAGAAUCAGAUGGUAUGCUCGACUUUCGAUUGAACUUUUCGACUAAUUUGAUUCAAUGUGUGUUCAAUUGAUGCGUGAUUUUGUUUAUUUUAGUGUAAAUUAGUGUUUUUAUGAAGGAUUUGAUAUGAGAUAUUUAUUUUUUGCAAAUAGAUUUGGUGUUUGUUUUGAUCAGAGGUCAUUCAGUAAGAAUGAGGUGAAUCUCAGGUAAGAAUGCGGUUUGGGGGAAAAGAAAUCAUUCACAUUUUGGCUGAAGUGUGAAAUCAGAGUGGAGGUGUUGUUGAUUUGCGUAGGCUGGUUUAUUGCGGGGCUCAAUAAUUGAAGUUAUGAUGGGUUUAUGUAAUUUAUGAUUAGCAUUGUUGGAACUUUGACUUGCACAGAAAUGAGAACAUUUUGAGUUUUGGUUUUGUAGAUUUCGAAUUGUCUGAUGUCCAACAAGAGCAUGCUCUGGCUGUUGAACGUCUUGCACCGGCGUUGGCUGCUCUCAGGAUAGAACUUUGCCCUGAGCAUAUGAGUGAAUCUCACUUCUGGAUGAUUUACUUUGUGCUCUUGCAUCCUAGACUGAGUAAACAAGAUACUGAGCUUUUGUCUACACCAAAGGUAAGUUGGUUUUAUGCGACAGUGAUCCAACACUCCCGUUUUUGAUUAUUUUUUUUGGGUUGGUUAUGGUGCUAUGCUUGACUUUAUGAUAACUCUGCAGAUAGUAGAAGUUAGAGCAAUGUUGUCUCAUGAGUUGAAGAAGGGAAAUAUGGCAAAGCCUGAAUCUGACCCUUCACUAAGUACCGCUGCUUUUUCAAAAGGAAUUACUGAUUCUCCCAAAGAACAGCAACUUUCUGUGCCUCAGUCUGACUUAGUGCCACCCGAAACAUCUACCAUGAGAUCAGCUCCUCUACCAUCAACAGCUGAUAUUGAGACAGAGAAGCAUCCAGUCCAGAGUAGUGAGAUCCAAAUUGUUGACAAGCCCGUUAUUGAAGAAAAACCAGUGAAAGAGACCAAAUAUCCACUGCCGCCCUCCACAUCUUCAUCUAAAGUCUUGGAUGAAAAAGAUGAGGAUGAUGCUGAUGAUUGGUUGAAAGAGGAAUCAGAGAUGGAUGGGGAUGGUGUUGGUGGAACUUCCAUCCCUAUAGAGAACGACGAGGAUGUAUCAUUCAGUGAUCUUGAGGAUGAUGAUACAGAUGUGCCAUCAGGUUACAAGAAGGCCACAUCUGGCUCUGACUCGUCAGCCAAAGAUUCAAGAGACUGGGUUCAGCUAAGCAGAAGUUCUCCUGAUUCAGAUAAGGACAACAACUCUGUUGAAAUCAGACGUGCUGGGUCUCAGGUAAGUUCCCGUAAUCCAGAGACCAAAGAAUCUAAUGACUGGCUUGACGUUGAUGACAUUGAUGUCAUAUGAUGACUAAAUAAGAACCCUUAUUAGGUCAAUGUGGCCUAUUUGUUUGAUUCAUCCCUUAAUGUGAAUAGCUUGUGAAAGGUUUCUUUUAGUCUGAGUUAGGCUAUGGGGGACUAUGAUUGUACAAAAGGUUUAAUACUGGAUUAUCAUUUCUUAUGCAAGGAUGUAUUUAUGUGUAGUAAUUACAGCACCAAGAAAAUAUUCUUGAUCUGUUUAUUUCAUAUAAAAUUGUACUUUAAAGUUUAUCCACACUGUAAGCCUGAAUGCUAGAUACCUUUUCGUUUUGUCACUAAGUUCUUUAAUGGUUAUUCCUUGGGGGAGUUGAGCAGAUUUGCCAGAGCUAGCCAGUGACCUGAUAUUAAAAGAAAGAAUUGAAAUUUGUUUAGUCUUUAUGGUUUGAAGUCGACAUCUGUUUAGUCUUUGUGGUUUUAUUUUAAUCUGAACAGUCCUUAAAGUCACAAUUUUACAUCCAAAUAAUCCUUAUGGUUUUAUUUUAAUCUAAAUAGUCCUUAAAGUCAUGAUUUUUCAUCCAAAUAGUCAUUCCGACUAAUUUUCUCAAUUAAAAGUUAUAAGGACUAUUUGGAUGAAAAAUCAUGACUUUAAGGACUAUUCAGAUUAAAAUAAAACCAUAAAGACUAUUUGGAUGAAAAAUCGUGACUUUAAGGACUAUUCAGAUUAAAAUAAAACCAUAAGGACUAAACAGAUGUCGACUUCAAACCACAAGGACUAUACAAUAUUUUACCCUAAAAAAAUUUAGAAACUUCACUGAUAAACUGCUUAAAAUUAUAAUUUAAUACUCAUCUUAGUGUCUUAGUGUCACUUGAUGUUAAGCAUAUUGUCUAGUUAUAUAGUCAGUUUUUCAUAAGUCUUUCCGCAUAAGAGUGCAAGUGCCUUAUAGCACAAUUUCCUGUUGUUCUUCAUAAGUUCUGAAGACAAUUGUUGCAAUGCAGCGAGAUAUUAGCUCCUAAUAAAAGUCAGAUAAGCCAAAAUGCCAUCCCUUAAUUUUCCAAAUCAAUUACACUGCACACAUUGUACUCAUUUUCUACAAAUCCUCAGAUCCGCUGCUGUCAAAUUAGAUUUUCAGAUUGAACGUGUGCACACCUCAGCACAAGCACAUAUGUGUAUUGUAAUGCUGUUACUAAGAAGCAGAGCGUAAAAACUUUCAUUCCCAUUGAUUUAGUUAUUUUCAACUUUUUGGAUAACCAUCUUGUAUACUUGUGUGCAUUUGAAUUCCGGGAUUUGAAGCACUCCCUGAGUUCUUGGGGAACAAGCAUUUCGAGAAGUGAUAUACAUUCUCUUCUUUCAUGACAUCUUUAGUUGCCUGUUCUACUUAUUACCACCCCUACCCUUCUUCCUUCUGCUUGAAAUAGUAUCAGCAGAUUCCCUUCUGAUUUAGUGUUACUGUCAGGUAGCCUACGUAUAUGCAGGUUAUGUGGUUUUCUUUUUCUCUAAAUCAUUUUCUCUCUUUUUUUUUGGUGUCGAUGUUGCUGGUUCUGCAGCUAGUAUAUGUUAACAAAACUUCCUAAUAACCCUGUGCCCUGUGUGAUAACUGCUCUGUACAGUACCUAUGAGCCUCAGGCUCAAAUGGGCAUGCGACUAGGAUAGUAGGAUUAAUAUCAGUUCCAAAUCUUCCUCCAAAAUAAAAGCGAUCUAGGUUAUAUUGAAUUCUUGAUUGAACUGGAACAAGCUAACUGGCUAGGAAGGAGAGAAAAACUGCUGUCCUGAAUCUACAAACUUAUUUACACAUAUGGCAUUCAUGGAUACAAGAAAACAUCAUGGAAGUAACCUGAAACUCUAUAAUCUAAUGGGUCCAAAGCUGCUUGAAAGGCGCUCCAGUUGAGACCAGACCAAACUUCCAAAUGACAAUCUUGGUCUAUCUUCUUCAUCUUCUACUCUUGUGUUUGGUACUCUUCGGCUUGUCCUUGAAGAACCACCAUGAGCAGCCCAAGUCUGUGGUUUGUGAACUGCAAUCACAGAUCCUCCAACCUCCUUUCUCACCGAUUCCACUAGGUUCAGAUUCACAUCGUGACCUGAAGUAUCUGUCACAUAAAUUGAUCCCACGGCUCUCUCGCCAUAUGUUCCGAUCUCGGCUCUUGUUAUUGAUAAACCACUCUCUCGGAAAACCCUUGUGAUGUCAGAUAGUAGUCCCAUCCGGUUUUUGGCGCAGAUGUCAAGUCUCAAUCCUUGUGAGAUCCUUCUCUCUAUUGCAGCAACUAAACAUAGAGUGAGCUUGUGCCUUUCACUUUCUGCGUUCAAAGUGUAGCCAUCUUUGUGCCUCACAAAAUAUUCCUGUCAACAUUAAAAAUCACCAUUAUCCCAUAGAAAAGAAAAUAUACAUCACAAUGUUGUAAAUCUGAACUGUUGAUUAAGAUGUACCUGAUCAGCCAUGGUGCCCCUGGAAGAAACCAGAGCAUGGAACACAACAUAUUGCAAGUCAGUGAGAGCACAAACUGUGUCAAACAACAGCUUAGGACGAUCUCUGCAUCUUACAUUAACAAUCCAGUACCCUUUCUCCUUGCAACUCUCUAUCGACACAUGGGUUCGGUCACAACCCUUCUUGUGUCCUUUAUCACCGCCAUCGCAGCCCCGACACAUCUCGUAGUCAUCGUCCCCGUACAUCAACUGGUGGAGCCGCCGCUCCGUGUGGGUCCGGCCCGCCGCGGGGGUGGUCAGCCUCACACUCCUCUUCUCGCCCUUCUCGUGAUGGGCUUCAAUCACAUUUUCUAGCUGCUCUUGUACAUUUGAUAGCCUUAUUGGGUCCAUAAUAGGCCCUCCUUUCAACCCAUCUUCGACAUAGAAGAUACUCGCUGUUCGGGAGCUGUGGGUCCAAGUUACGGCUGCAGUAAUGUUGCAGCCGAGCUCAACGAGGACCGCAGAUAUCUCAGACAUUAACCCCGGUCGAUCCUUGGUGGUCAUUUCUAGGGCUAAAUCUUUCACUCCCGGUGCCACUUCUUUUCCUAAGCAUGUUCUUGCCUCCUUAGUAAUCCCUCCCCUCCUAGCACAAAGUGCCUGCAACAUUCAUCAAUUUGUUGUUAAAACAAUGUAAAAGAAUGUAUGCCCAACUUACAAUAUAUUAAAGUUGAGCAGCUCAAUUAUGUUCAAAAUAAAAAUAAAAAAACCUUAGCCAAAAAGAAAAAAAAACAGAAAAGAAAAAAGACAAUAUUUCAGAGGGAGAAAGAGACCUGCUGAAUAUAAAGUAUGAUGCUCUCGUCAGUGACUUUGUUGCCGAGUUGAUCCGUCACAUGGAACACUGCAACCACACCAUGCAAAUCAAAACAAAUCCACAUGAACCAAUCUGCCAAGCAAGUAUACUUUACUCUCUACUCGUGGGGAUGACUCAUGCAUACACAUCUUUUCUUUAUAUCAAAACGAAAAGAAAUUAUUAAAUGAGGUAAUAUAUAAUGCACAAAAAAAAAAACAAUUACCAUCCAUGAACCAUCCACCAUCAGAGGAAAUAUAAGAUUUGGAAAUAACAAGAUCAAGAUCGGUCAAAACUUGGACCAUCUCCAGUAAAAUCCCGUGCUUGUUUGCACUGUCAACCUGUGAAAAAAGCUUGUAUAAGUAAAAAUAAACAGAGCUUUUUCCAGGUCUCAUGCAUAUCAUUUUCAUCUCUCUCACUCCUUAACCUAAUCGAUGAACUUUUCAAAGUACUACCUCUCUAUGUGUUUUUUGCAGGUAUAGCAAUCGGGUCCAUGGUAGUUUUCCUGGUCUGGCUAUAUAUAAUUAGAUGAUGUCAUCUGGUUUGGGUUUUCUGGGUAUCUGGUUGCGUAGAGAUAGAGAGGGUUGGAAGCUUAAAAGUGACGAAACCUUGCAUGGAACUGGUAACCCUGCAGGGUUUGGAAACUGGAAAAAGUGACAGAAAAUAAAUGACGAUAGCUACUAAAGCUUUUCCAUCUCUUUCUCUCAUUUCAAUGGCCUCCACCUGGUGACACCAAGCCACUCGAUCCCUCUAGGCUCUAAGUUAGUUAUAUGUGAGAUUAGUCGGGUUUAUGGGAUCUAACUUUAGUUUUUUUUUUUUUUUUUUUGGUAUUACGUAGUUUAAGAAUUGAGUACUACUACGUCUGUUGUGUUUGGCAGCAAACCAUAAUGGAAGGGAUUAUAGUUUUUUUUGUUGAUCCAUGGUAUCUCCUCUCCUUCUGAAAUCUAUGGAUGACUCACUUGGACACUAAAAAAUUUGAAAGCAACUUCCCAACAACACAAAGAUAUUUUUUUUUUCUUUUAUGUAGAGCUCCAAAUCAAACCGAUGUCCAUCACCUACCGACACGAUAGACUAAUAAUAUUGUAACAUGUAUGAACUUGUUAAAGAACAAGUAGCUAGACUAAAGCAUGAUGAACGAGUAGGCAACAAUGUUUAUCAAACUAACAUAUGAUCUAACCUUCACGAGGGUGCAAUCUUUGCAUGUGUCGUUGUCGAUACAAACCCUGCAAAGCCAAGCCAGAAAAUAGAGGUGAUCAUGCACUGAUCGAUUCUCCAUAGCUUAUACUUUAGGCGAGAAUGAAAACAUAGAUGAAAUAGAUGCAUACCACGGCGGGUAGAUUCUUUCGAUGAGGCAUUCGUACUCGGGGUCGAUAUAGGGCUGGUAGAUUACCUCCAUCUUCUUCAGUUAUCAACACAUGUACAAUACUGAGAUUGCAGCUGCUUUGUUGCAGCAAGGAGAUAACAUUGCUGGUUUGCUUCACCUGAAUAUCAGUAUAUAUAAACAAGAAACAAAGUAUUUAAAUUGAGACCGUCUCAAAAACCAUUCUAAAUUAAAAGAACCCGUAAAUUCAAGAUAACUUGGGAAAAGGAUAAGAGAGCGGCGUCUAGCUUGGUUCUUAAGUUAGUUGAAAUAUCACCUAUGUAUGAUUGAAUUGGGAUUCCGUGUUGCUUUCUAGUUGUAGAAGGAUAAGAAGAACGAAGAUUUACCUGAUGAUUACCUAAAGAAUAUUCAAUCAAGGAGAAGACUGGGAAUUUGUGAAGAAAAUUUGAUUGUUUUGACCCGGAAAUACAGUGGCAAUUUCAGAUAUAUAAAACAAACUACGUUGAUUCACUCCACAACGGAAAAUAAAAGACCCAACUAUCAGAGUCAAAACGUUUUAACCCAAGACAAGAGUUCAAUUCUCUUGAAGAAUCAAAUUGUUGAUCCAAACAAGAAUGAAAGAGAAUAAAUUGUAGUGAUGAAUCAAAAGUUCAAAACUGAAAGAAAUCUGAAUUAUGAACAAAACCAGAUCAAAAUCUUUUGGAAUUCAUUGACAUUGAUUGAAAUUCUUUGUUGGGAUCGUAUAGAAAGUAACAAAAUCCAGCAGAGACUGACCUGAACACACAGAGAGCCCUUCUGUUGUACACAGAAGCGAAAUUUAACAGAGGAAGAAGCUAGAAGAGAACUUAUUGGAUUGUGGAAAACACAGAGGCGCCCUUAGAAUAAUAGCUUAGCUAGGAUCAGUGAGUCCCAGCUAUAUAUAUAUGUCCCUAAAUUUAGAAAAAUUGGUUUGCUGGUGACAGAAAUAAACAGACCGAAAAAGAUGGGAUGGAUAUACGAGACUCGUCGAUUAAUAUAACAAACACUGAUCCCUAGAAAAAAAAAGAAAAAAAGAAAGAAGAAAAAAUAAAAAUAACAAAAACACUGCUGGCCUCUCUGUUGCUUUCUUUACUGUAUUUGUGGGGAACAGAAAAACGUGUUAGAUUAGGGUUGAUCGAGGCUUCCCAGGAGGACUGAGACUUUGGUUACCAACCAGCCACGUACAAAAUCACUGCACCACGUGGCGGAGGGAGAGCUGCUGACACCGCAUCCGCCGUGAUGAUGAUGCUUCGGCAAAGGUGCGGCGGCUCGGGUUUAAGAUAGACUGUGGAUUGUUAAGCAGGAAUCUGUUUCGGGAUUUUACAGCUAUAAAACUGUUGGAGAGAGACAGGGGGGUUUAUCCUAGGCAGAGUACACAAGGUGGUGACCUGGACAAUUGUCUGUGCAAUGGGACAUGGAUAUCAAGGUCAAAGAAUCAUGAUCUUGCCGUAGAUAUCUUUGCCUCUACGCCGUCGGGAUCGUGGUGUUGUGUGAACGGGUUUGAUAUGAAAGAGUGUAUUUUACAAGUUUAUAUUGACAUGUCCAUAUGCAUCCAUUUUGAUUGAUAUGAUAAGUACAUAAUUAGACCCAAAUUAAUGGAAGUUAAACGCAUCCAAAAAUCUUAUAGUGCAAAAGGGGGAAUGAUCAAAAUGAUCAAGAUUUGCGAUCGUCAAAUUGUAAACAUUGUUUAUUUAUGGAACAAAAUAACUUGAAACCUAAUGGGUAUUAGUAUUAUGAGUGAGAUCAAUCACAGUAGAGUGUAUUGCUCAUUUUAAAGAAAUUUUUAGACAUCCAUAAUGAAUAACUGAGAUGAAUAAGUGAGUAUGACGGUUGACAUUAUGAUAAGUUUUUUGUUUUUAAGCAACGAAUGUAUUCCAGUGGAAUGAAAACAUACGACAAAUACUACUAGGUCAAACAAGAGAAAGCUCUAAUACAAGAUGAUCAAGAACAAACUUAUUAUUCAAACUACUACUAAAACCUAAAGGUGCAUCCAAAAAACUAAGUCCAAAACGGUGUACACUACACUAGAAAGAAAAUAACGUACGUACACCACUCUAAGCAAAAGUACCAUUGUUAGAGUUGUGUAGACUAGGGGUCUUCAAUACUAAACUACCUCUAAAGACCAUUAAACUAACAAAAAUAAGCCCAAAAAAGGUAGAGGCCCAAGAGCCCACUACCCAAACUCUUAUCCCCAUCCAUUUAUAUCAAUUCCAGUUCAUUAGAAGCUGCAUGUCGUCGUCGAAUUAGUAUGGUGACCAGAGACGCCACCAGACCAUGAACGCCGCACAUCGACCAAAAUUGUUAUACCAAGCGCUUCCAAGAACCAAAUUUUCCUCCUCCGCCGCUUUUUAAAUUAUAGAGUGGCCUCGAUCGCACCAAGGCUCGUCGCCUGGCUGACUUGGAAAAACGAUCACAUAUCCCGUCUAGAAGGAACUCAAAACGCCCGAACUUGUCACAUAGUGAAACCAUAAAAAACCACCACCAAUCAAAAGUUGUCGCGUUGCCGCCCUCAAAUAAAUAUGCAUAGUUGCAUACCAAACUACUUGCUUCUCUGACUUGAAGGAACCGCGUUGGGCCGUAUAUUGCAAUCGGGAAUCCGUUGUGGUUCAACGAUGCCUGCUCCACGAAACAAGGUUUCAGAUUGCUAGCCUUUCGCGCUUGUCUAUUUGCUUAAACCAUGAUAAGUUAAUCACAUUAGGAUUUAGGAGUAAUUGUUAGGUAGGCUGUCCCCACCACGUGGAGGUUAGGACGACCCUAUAAGAAUGCAAUAAAUUUAGAAGAAAAUACUUAUCACUUAUUUUACUUUUUAAAACAGUUUUGUCUCUCGAUUUUUAAAUCAAACUAGUAUACCCUUGUAUUUUAAAUUCUCAACAAUUUUGUCCAUUUUAUCAAUUGAGCCCGUUAUCAACCUGACGUGGCUCACGAUUUGACACAUAUACAAGUCCACAUCAACUAAAAUGACUAAGAUACCCUUAGCUAAAUCUUCUCUCUCUCUCUCNNNNNNNNNNNNNNNNNNNNNNNNNNNNNNNNNNNNNNNNNNNNNNUACUACUACUACUACUCUCUCUCUCUCUCUCUCUCUCUCUCUCUCUCUCUCUCUCUCUCUCUCUCUCUCCCCUAAGUUAAAACACCCUAUAUUUUUGUAGACGCAUAAAAUUUAAUGAGAAUAAUAAUCAUUAAAUUAUUCAUACAACGCAUGGGCCUGAAAAAUUACAUACGUGGCUCGUGAGUCAACAAAGUUGAAAAGUCUUCGAAAAUGACACGUGGCGGUAUGUGAAUGGUCGGUCGACAACAAAAUCAUCAAUCCCGACUAAAGUCAAAUAUUAAACGUCAAUUGAUAAUCAGACAUCAAUCAAAUCAAAUUGAUUAUCUAAAAGAAAGUCAGAAUUUAAUCAAAUUGGUGAAAUACUUUAUCGGUCAUAAUUAAAUCGAUCAAUUAAGACUCAUUGAUUUAAUUAUGGUAAAUUGAAUCAAUCAAUCAAAAAUGAUUGAUUUAAUUAUAUCAUUAAGAAAAUACAAUUAAAGUUGUGACUUCAAUGCAUUCCAUUUACAGAGGAGCAUCGACACUAGAAAUAUCCCCUCUCAUAUCAAGAGGAGGAUUUCCGGACAAGAGAGAAAAAUUACUCCCGAGAGUUCAGAAUUCUCCCAAAACCCUUAAAGAAUCAUCAAGCUGCCAAAUAGCCGAUUCUUUAUCAACCUCAAGCCUAGGAGUUGUCAAAUCCCGAAGAGUCCUAAGUUGCCAAAUAGCCGACAUCUUCAGCAACUACAAGACGAAGAGCAACCACCAUGUGAAACUGCUCGUGGCCCAAACCCGAUCAACGUCAAGCCUCUACGGCCCUUGAUCAACCCUCGUCUUCAAGCCUUUCAACAAAUCAAAACUUCUACCAAGUUCUUCAACAAGCUCAUGGAGAAUCAACAACCACCAAACACACGUGCUGAUUCAUCCGCUAUCAAGCCGAAGAACGUUCACCACGUGACACCUCUUGCGGCCCAAAUUUUUCCAAGAUCAAGCCUCUACGACCCUUGGUCAACUUCCUUCUACAAAUCGUCAACACGAUAAGAAGUUCAAACUACAAUAGUUCAAUUCAAGAUCAAGUGCCCGUCACCCUUGGAUCAAAUCAACGUCGGAGAUCGAAUCAGAGGACAUUCUUGUUAAAAGAAUACCCACAGAGAUUAUAACCCUCAAAUUCAAUCAAUACAAUUAUAUUAUUUUGUACACGUGUCUUUCUGUUAUUCGUUAAAGGAAUUUUCGUGUUUACAACUUUACCCUUGGUUAAAACAAGCUAGCCCAAACAACUCUGCCGCCGCCAACCUUCAAAAAUGAAUUUUGUAACAAUCUGUUUCGGCCUAAUGAAACGGCAAACAAUUCAGAAUAUGCAAGAUAUAUAGAAUCGGUAUGCAAACUUGUUACGGAUAUUUCAACUAACACCUUAGCUGUAUCUGAAAUAGAAAUCCUAACCAAUUCAAAAUUAAAAUCAACUAAGUUAAAACAAUGACCAUGAAUGAGUCUAGUUGAGGUGUUAGUUGGAUAAAAUGACCAUUUGGAUGAAAAAUUGUGACUUUAAGGACCAUUCAGAUUAAAAUAAAAUCAAAAAGGACUAAACAGAUGUUGACUUCAAAUCAGAAGGACUAAACAAUUUUUUUUUUUUUUGAUAUUUUGUGCUUAAUUGCUUUUGUUUUGGCCCGUGCGAACACAAUCUUGGCUUUUCCUGGGUUUUUUUUUGUUACAGAUCUUUGGGUCGUUAUACAAUGACAAGUCUUUUAUUUCUAUGUGGUAACUGUGAUCGGAUAUAAUAUCAUUUGAGAGUGACAAUGAUAUAUAAAUAAAUAUAGCUUAUGGUGGUUGUUGAACAUUGAAACAAAGCCGGUGAUCGUUAGCCUUCACAAAAUCACAACCAGAGAAAGCAAGAAGUAGACGCGUCAAUAAAGCUUUCUCAUUUUUUUCAGCACCAGACGGCUUAUCCUCCCCUGGAACGAUUCUUAGCUCAUCCCCUUCUCACUCCCACAGGUCUGAUUCUUUCUCUUUCUGAUUUGUUGAUACAAAUAAACGACAACACCCAAAACCCAACUCCCCAUUUAGCUUGUUCCUCAACUUUUGGACCCAGUUGAGGUAUAGACCUGUUCUUACAUAAGGCCUAAGAUUUAGACCCUUUUUCUAUAGCUUUGUUGAAAGUUUGGAUCAUAAUCAAAAUUGGGUCUUUGAGAUUGGUGUCCAUGAUGGACCUGGAGGUAGCGAAAAAGGGUUUUGAUUAUGCCCAGAAAAGGAAGAAGUGGCUUUUUGUAAUGGCUGCUUUGGGCUUCUCUGGUUAUGGAGCUUACAGGGUUUAUCACUUGCCUUCUGUUUCUCGAAAAAGAAAGAGGCUUUUGAAGCUUUUAGGAGCUUUAGUUUCUGUAGCUGAAGUAGUUUCGGACUCUGCUGAGUCGAUUGGAGUUGUGUCUAAAGAUUUAAAGGACUUUCUUCAAUCUGAUUUUGAUGAAAUUCCAAAUGGUUUGAAGCAAGUUUCGAAGAUUUGUAGGUCGGAUGAGUUUUCGGGGUCUGUUGUUAAGGUCACACAAGCUGUAACAUUGGGAGUUUUGAGGGGUUAUCAAGCACAGGCUAAGAGUCAGAGUAUUGGUGGUGAUGGAGUUUCUAGUAAUACAGGCUUUAUGGAUCAAGUUAUGGAUAAGCUGUUUACCAAGGCAGGGACUGGUUUUGUAUCUGUUGUUGUUGGGAGCUUUGCUAAGAAUCUGGUGUUAGCUUUCUUUUCGGAUGAGCAGUCUGGUGCAGGAUCAAAUUCGACUGGUUCUCCAAGGAAGGAUCAAUUUGGUAUGAAGAUGAAUGAUGUUCCAAGAUGGGUGGAUGUGGCUUGUAGCGAAAAGUGCAGAGACCUGAUUGCUGAUUGUAUCCAGCUAUUUGUGAGCACAGCUGUUGCGGUUUAUCUUGACAAGACUAUGCACAUCAACACGUAUGAUGAUAUCUUCUCUGGGUUAACCAACCCCAAGCAUGAAGCGAAAGUAAAAGAUAUGAUGUUAUCAGUCUGUAAUGGCGCGGUUGAAACUCUGGUUAGAUCAUCUCAUCAAGUGUUGACAAGUUCGAAAUCCAAUGUGAACCAUCCGAAUUUGAGUUCAAGUUCUCAUUUGGCUUUUGAUGAUGGGAGAAAAGACAGUGGGUGGAUCGGUCAAGUAUCCUCUACUCUGGCAGUUCCAAGCAAUAGAAGGUUUGUUCUUGACUUGACCGGACGGGUUACAUCUGAAACAGUUAGAUCUUCCUUGGAGUUCUUGAUGGAGAGACUAUUUGAUGGGAUGCGGAGACGUGUUAAUUCUGCUCGUGUGGAAACUGUGGACAAGGGUGUUGAGGUUGUGAGAUAUGCUGUUGCAAAGUCUUCCGUUAUUGCCACUAUAUGUCUAUCUUUGUGUUUACACAUAAUUGAUAGUCCAUGGCUGUUGGCUCCGGCUUAGCUUGUUGAGUACAUUCUCAUUUGGUAAGUCCAUGGCCAUGUAUACGAGAAUUCUUUUGUGCAACUGCCUGUUUGUUGGCGUGUGUAUAUUUCAAUGAAAUUUCAAAAUUCUUUGAGGAACCGAAGAAGUUCCAAGUGCUGGCUAAGACUGAAGGUGCGCUUAAUUUUGUAUGCGUCCACCCUUCCUGGCAUGCUGGUCCUCAUUAGGUGAUGGCAAUGCGUGCGAGAAAAUAUGUUCCAGAAUUUGUGAAGAAAGAAACUUCAUUCUUCAUUGGGCAAUUGUGUCCCGAUUUAGCUCUGUUUAUCAGCUAAAUGAUACACUGUAUACCUAAAGUUGGAUUUAGAACCUUUUAAUUACUUUUAGUGGUUGUGAACCUGCACCAAUUACACCAUGUACAUAUCAUUGUGGUACUUAAUAUCUUCUCCAAUAUAUUCUUAGAACGUGGUUGCAGGUAUUCAUUCUUCAUGUACAUACAUGUUUCAUAGCUCUUUUCAUAGUAACUUUACUUGGAUAUAAAUCUGCAAGUGCAGUAUUGGACUUUGUUGAAAUUUUGAAAUGUUUUAGUGAAAGCAACUCAAAUGUAGUGCUUGCCUUGUUGGUAUACCCUGUUGGCGAGAACAAACAACAGAAAUUAAGUAAAGUUGAUAUCUGGUUGGGAGGUUAUUCUUAAAGGUCAAUAAUAUAUCCAUAAACCCAUUACAUGAUCUUCUUUCCCAGAAUGACGUUCCCAGAAUAAUGUCGAUAACCCAUUUCGGAUAAGCUUGGAGGGCAAGUAAGGACCUACUUUUAAAGUUUUGCAUUAUCAUUCUGGUAACAGAAAAUGUUCUGCGGAUAAAAGUUCUAACAACUUGAAUACAACAUUUGACAUAUGGACAGAUCAAAAAGUAUUGAAGGGAUGAAUGUACAGAUAAAUUUAUAGAUAAAAACUUGGAAGCUUCUUCAUUAAGUAGCGUAUUAGUCUGUAUGAAUUUCAUACCAGAGCAGUUUUCCUCCUUAUAUCAGCAAGCUGAAAAACAGCGUCAUUGAAAUUUCACAACUGAGCAACCUAAACAGAAAUACAAUUGACCAAGCACAGUCCUUUCUUCUACAACUAUGACAGCUUACAGAAACAGAUGCAAAUUGCUGUUGCUUUCAUCAUAUUCUUGUAGUGUGUAAACGAAUGAACUAAUUGAUAUACUAUCUUCAUCUCCUGGCUUGCACCACAGUGAGACAACCAAACAUGAGGGAAUGCGAUACCAUAUUGCUUACUUUGAGCUUGCAUCAGUUUCCUUUGCAGCAGCUUCUUCCUGCUGCUUCUUUGUCCAGUAAUCCUCAAGUGGGGGUCCAAAAAUUGCCUUGCCUGAAGCAACUCCAAUUCUGCAAAUCCCAUAUACAUAUAUGAAGUCAGCUUGAAUGACACUCAAACCAGAUUAAUCAUACAGGGUAUUUGAAAUUGCAAGCAGACUGAAUCUCAGUGGAACCAAUUCCCAGCUGUAAAUUCAGCCAGAUAAGAAACAAAAGUGGAAAAACGAUUGCAUUGUUUUACCAAUUAAGCUACCACUCUAAUGCUUAUGGGUUUUAUAACUUGUCUUCAAGACUUAAUAUUGCCACAUACAAUACCACAUAUUUCACAAAUUUGGGAGCCACUGUUGGUGCUAAUCAAAUGAUUAUCAUAUAGUUUUAGUCUACCUUCAUUUCCACUUUGCAUAGAAGACAUUCCCAUUUCUGGCUACAUCUGCUAUGAACUGCAUUUACUUUCAAUAAUCCAUUGUUAAAAUUAAACUAGAUGAAUGUCUAGCAGUCUCAUAGUCUGAGUGUUAUGCCUAUAGGAUUAAGGACAAUCCUAGAGCCCUUUCUUUAGAUAUCAAGGACGAGAAAAGCAGUAACAAAAUUAGUAAAAUCAGAGAAAAGAAGUCAUUGGAGGUAAAUAAUAUGCUUGCAGUGAUCAUCAUCUAUAAGAAAUACUUUCCGGAGAAGAGUGCAUACAAGAUGAUAAGUUUGAGUAAUUCAAUUGUUUCAGAAAAGUUACUGCACUUUCUGGACCAACUUUUUCAAAUCCUGUCUCAAGAUCGAUACAUGCCCGCUCAACCAGAAACAGACAGGAGAUAAGAAAAGUGUAUAUAUAUAUAUAUACACACAGUCCCCUUCUAGAGAGGGAUCCCUCUUUGAAUUAAAGUGCGGGACUCCUUAUUUCGCUCACUUUCAGGUCGUAUUUUCACAUCUCAACCGUACAAUGUCUAAAACACAGUGUGUAGAUCAUUCCUACAAAGUUUCAUCAAAUUUGAAGAUCAUUUGAGCUUCCGUAAUCGUAAUUUACACGAAU